rnacentral:lncRNA from 1 species
CUCGACCUUCGACCUGUAUGCCCACCACCUUCUCCUGACUGUCGCCUCGGGCGAAUCUGUCUGCUCCAUCGCCUAGAGGAGAUACUCGAUGAACUCGGAGGACUGCGGCGUGACUGCCGCCGAGGAGUACAUGUACAUCGCCGCCCUCAUCGCCGUCGUCUCGCUCUUUCGCAUACAUUGCCGCAUGGCCCGCACCGUCCUCGAAAUCUCCCACUCAUUAUCAAACCAACUACGGAUCUCCUUCAACCUGGCUAACUUUGCCUGGUCGCCGCCGGCGAUCUGCUGAUUCGCUGCUGCAUCCUCUCCAUAGAUCUCCUUCUGAGUGGUUCGGUGCUAGCUUUGGAAGGUGGGAGGAGAGACGGUGGUCUUGCAAUAGAGAAGAGGGAGAGGCGAGACGGUGGUUUUGGAAUGGAGAUGAUGGAGAGGAGAGGAGGUGGUUUUGCAAUGGAGAAGAUCAGAAGAGGGAGAGGCGAGAUGGUGGUUUUGGAAUGGAGAUGAUGGAGAGGAGAGGAGGUGGUUUUGCAAUGGAGAAGAUCAGAAGAGGGAGAGGCGAGACGGUGGUUUUGGAAUGGAGAUGAUGGAGAGGAGAGGAGGUGGUUUUGCAUUGGAGAAGAGGGAGAGGAGCGUGCGGCAGCGAUUUAGGAUUGGACGAGAGCGCCGGCGCGCUGUGACUUGAUCAAAAUCAAAAUCAAUUUACCCUUCAAUUAAGAAAGCGACCCCACAUUAACUAGUCUCCCUUUUAUUCUGGGUCAUAAUUGACCAUGAUUUUCGCACAUAAAAUAUAUGUUAUACGUUGCAAAAAUAAUAUAAUUUGAAAGUACAUUCAGAUACGAACCAAACGAUACAAUUUUUGGUGACAUGCAUUCACGUUUUGCUUGUCAAAUACAGUACGUGGUCAACCUUUGACCUACGCCAAACAACAAAAAAAUACUUCCAAGACCAACGCCGCUCUUCCGCUCUUCUCCUCUUAAACCACCGCCGCUCCUCUUCUGUUCCAAUCUAAAUGCAGCGCCGCUCCUCUCCUCUUCCAUUUCAAAACCACCGCCCCUCCUCUCCUGUUCCAGUCCAAAACCAGCGUCGCUCCUCUCCUGUUCUAAUCCAAAACCAGCGCUGCUCCUCUCCUCUUCCAUUCAAAAACCACCGCCGGCGAGUGAAGGUGCUGUGGAGAAGUAGAUCGAUGGAGGAGUACAACCGAUACGUGAGGAUCGCAGAAGGCGACCCUGUGAAGCUAGCUAGGAUGUUGGAGAUACAGUCUUGGUUUGACAACAAGGACCAACUAGCGGCGACGGCGACAUCCAUGGCCAAAUAUCUGCAACAGAGCGAAAAGGCAGCGAUACUCCCAGAGGGAGUCGCGCCGGAUUACAUAGAGUUGCUCCUCUGGGUCAUGGAGCAAACAGAUUCACCGAAUCCGAUUGUGAGGGAGCGGUGGUGGGAGUAUCGAUCCCAGAUGGAGCAUCCACCAGAGAUUGAAGGAUCGAGCAUCUACAGGGUGCCGUUUGUGAGGGUGUCCUGCCAGAGCGAGCUGGUGGAGUCUUCGUCGACCGAACCCAACUGCAAGAGGAGAAAACUAGUUGGCCCGACGAUGCUUCCCUGCCAUCGUCUCCCUCGCCGUUCACAUCGUCUCACGGGGCGGCUGUCUGCCGCCAAGGAAUAGGAGGGGGCUGCCCCCCAGCCCAAUAGUCGGGCAGGUUGUGAAUUGUCAGGAUGAGCUUAGGGUUGUCAGUAUUUGCAGGUUCUGAAUUGUGUUUUGUGUUGUGUAUUUUGAGAGUACUUUCAGAUAUGAAUGUCUUUUGAAUUCCAGAUUUGCAGUAUUGAGCAUAUGAAGUAUUUUAUGAAUUCUAGAGAUCUAUUUUUAGCACUUAAAAAAAUGUAGUUUCAUAGGAGUAUAAAAGUGCAGACAGUGUGAUUCUCAGAGAAGAAACUGCAAGUUUCAGUUUCAGAUAAGAAACUGCAAGUUCAGUUUCAGAUAAGAAACUGCAACUUUCAGAGGCAGAGCAUUUAUAUUAACACGGCCUUUUCAAACAGGGUUAACAUCAUGUUGGAAGUUUUAUUCAUGGUCGAAAAUGGAACUACCAGCCAGUUAACAUCAUGUUGAUCAACAUUCAUGCAUAGCACAUCUUCAUAUGAUGCACAGUCAAAAUGCCCACACAAUGUCGAGUGUGCGAAACACAGAGAAAACGAGGGACGAAGUUUUGGCAAGUGUUGGACGUGGUUUUGGGCUGCCCCGUCUAGGCCUGCUCCCUCCUCCCCGCGGCCGGCUCUGCUGCCGCGCAGGCCUCACAGCCCCACCGUACUCCCAUAUCUGGCCUAGCCAUCCCUCUACUCACCCACACCUGCUGUUAUUCUCCGGCGACGGCAGACAAACUAGUAAACCCUCGUACAGUCAUACUCCCCUCCGUGUGGGAAACAACUGCCGAGUCUUCCCUGCCUCCAUGUCGUUCCCUUCCUAGGCCUCGCCAUCGUCCACCGCCCUGGUGCUCUCGGCGCGGCCUGGUCAACGUGGUCAACGACCGACAUGCAGCUGAAGUGGACUGUACGUGGAGAGGCCGACAGCUGGGUCCACGGCCGCACGCAAGGAAAUGCCUCCUUAUUACGCGCAAAAUAAUGAUUCCUCCACCUGACAUCAGGGACCCACCGAAAGGGCCUCUGUAUUUCACAAAAAAAACGUUACCGCCGCUGACAGCUCGGACCCACCAGCUAUAUCUUGGCACGCAAGGAAGUGCCUCCUUAUGACGCACAAAAAAAAUGAAUACUCCCCCUGCUAGCUGGGACCCACCAUGGUGGGAGGCUGACUUGUGGGCCUACUAAGUUGACUGGGACGGGGGCCUUUGUCAACUUUAGUCAAUAUGAACGAUUCUAGCUCCAGUGACCGUACGAUGUCCAUCCAACGGCCGUAGUGCUUCUUCAACCUCUGGUCUUCUUGCUCCAGCCGCCCAAAGCAGCGCCGGUCGUGCCGCAUGCUCCUGCCUCCCGUGGCCGGCUGUGCUGCCACGGAAGCCUCACCUCCCCUACUAUUCCCACCGCUGGCUAGGCCCUGCGGCGACGGCAGCCUCACACCGCAGCUGAACCAGUGAACCCUCGUACUCCUCUCCGCGCGGGCUUCCACUGCCUUGUCUUCCCCGACUCCGCGUUGUCCCCUUCCUAGGCCUCGCCGUCGUCCACCGCCGUAGUGCUCUCCGCGCGGCAUGGUCAACAUGGUCAAGGAACGACUUCCAUCGGAAGAGUACUGUACGUGGAGAGGCUGACAGCUGGGUCCACAGCCACAGCCCAGUUUUUUUGUGAUUUGCCAAGUAAGUCGCUUUGUCAGGCCUGUCGGGCUGCAAAUCUUUCAAGACGAGGAGAGCUUUCAUUCGGCUGGCCGAGAAAAUGGCCCAUCAGUAAUGAGAAAUGGGUUGUACAUUUUUAAAACACAUCAAACCGGCAAUUAGUUUCAAAUAUCUUUUUUUCAUUUUGAGAUUUUAAAUUACAUUAAUUCUUAUGCGUGGAGAAUUUGUUGGAUUUUAUAUUGAUAUACAUUUAUUUUUAAAAUUAGUUUGAAUGUGAGUCGAAAUUUCGGGAUUAAAAACAGUUCGGACCGCACCGAAAUAUGCAAAAUUUCGUAUAAUUUUUAACCGUGGCCACAAUAUGGGCUGUAAUGCUAACAAAAAGAAUAUGGGCUCCAAAAAAAACCUUAAUAAUUAGCAAAUGGGGUGUAAAUUAUUAGAAAUAAUGGCAGAUGGGCUGUAUGCUGUUUUCCACAGAUUUGAGGCUUUCCUAAAAAAAGGUUGACGUACAAGCAGUGACUGUUGGAUGGCCAUCCAACGACCGUCGUGCUUCUUCAAUCUCUGCUCUUCCUGCUCCAGCCGCUCAAACAAGCGCCGGCGGGACUGCCUGGUCCCUCCUCCCCGCAGCCGGCUCUGCUACCGCGCAGGCCUCACCGCCCCACCGUACUCCCAUCGCUGGCCUAGCCAUCCCUCUACUCACCCACACCUGCUGUUAUUCUCCGGCGACGGCAGACGAACCAGUAAACCCUCGUACAGUCGUACUCCCCUCCGCGUGGGAAACAACUGCCGAGUCUUCCCCGCCUCCAUGUCGUUCCCUUCCUAGGACUCACCAUCGUCCACCGCCCUGGUGCUCUCAGCGCGGCCUGGUCAACAUGGUCAACGACCGACAUGCAUCUGAAGUGGAUUGUACGUGGAGAGGCCGACAGCUGGGUCCACUGCCGCACGCAAGGAAAUGCCUCCUUAUUACGCGCAAAAUAAUGAUUCCUCCAACUGACAUCAGGGACCCAUCGAAAGGGCCUCUGUAUUUCACGAAAAAAACGUUACUGCCGCUGACAGCUCGGACCCACCAGUUAUAUCUUCGCACGCAAGGAAGUACAUCCUUAUUACGCACAAAAAAAUGAAUACUCCCCCUGCUAGCUGGGACCCACCAUGGUGGGAGGCUGACUUGUGGGCCUACUAAGUUGACUGGGACGGGGGCCUUUGUCAACUUUAGUCAAUAUGAACGAUUCUAGCUCCAGUGACCGUACGAUGUCCAUCCAACGGCCGUAGUGCUUCUUCAACCUCUGGUCUUCUUGCUCCAGCCGCCCAAAGCAGCGCCGGUCGUGCCGCAUGCUCCUACCUCCCGUGCCUGGCUGUGCUGCCGCGGAAGCCUCACCGCCCCCUACUAUUCCCACCGCUGGCUAGGCCCUGCGGCAACGGCAGCCUCACACUGCAGCCGAACCAGUGAACCCUCGUACUCCUCUCCGCGCGGGCUUCCACUGCCGCAUCUUCCCCGGCUCCCCGUCGUCCCCUUCCUAGGCCUCGCCGUCGUCCACCGCCCUGCUGCUCUCGGCGCGGCGUGGUCAACGUGGUCAAGGAAUGACUUCCAUCGGACGUGGACUGUACGUGGAGAGGCUGACAGCUGGGUCCACGGCCGCAGCAAGGAAGUGCCUCCUUAUUACGCGGAAAAUAAUGAUUCCUCCACCUGACAGCUGGGACCCACCGGACGGGCCACUGUAUUUCACGAAAAAAACGUUUCCCCCUGAAUGCUGGGACCCACCAGCUACAUCUUCGCAUGCAAGGAAGUGCGUCCGGGCAAAAAAAUGAUUCGCCCCCUGACUGCUGGGACCCACCAGCUACAUCUUCGCAGGCAAGGAAAUGCCUGACAGUCGGCACCCACCUGGUCGAAGCGUACGUAGUGUCGUCAUUCUGGUCGCGAACGUGUACGUACAUAUAUACUGGCGGAUGUAGAGGCGCGCACGUGUCGUAGUAGAGGCGCGCAUGUAGCAUGUACGCGUACGUACAGCGGCCAGGGUGCAAGAAAGAAAAUACGGCCACGUAUAUGUACAUACGGGCGGGGUCUCAAACGCCUACUCGCGCAUACGUACGGCCAGGGCUCGUGUACAUGGCUGGGUCGGAACGGAGAAACAGCGUCGUCGUCGUGUUCAUGGGGAGGCAACGGAAUGCGUCGUGUUCAUCGGGAGGCAACGGAACGCGUGGGAGCCAACCGGCUGGGUCGGAACGAAAUGCGUGGUCGUGUUCAUCGGGAGGGCUUGGACGGAAAAGGCGAUGGAAAUGAGGCCUGGCGUACCGCACAACGGAGGAAACGGACCUCCUACGUAAGGAACGGGGUGCUGUUGAUCGGGGGGUGUGGCGUACCGCAAAAUGGAGGAAACGGACCUCCUACGGUCGAAACGGGGGUCCUGUUGAUCGGGAGGGGUGUGGCGUACCGCAAAACGGACGAAACGGACCUCCUACGGUCGAAACGGCGGUCCUGUUCAUCGGGAGGGGUGUGGUGUACUGCAAAAUGGGACUCCACGGGAUACUGUUCAUCUCCACCGUCGACCUCCUCCAGCCUCCAUGGGCUACCGUCGACCUCCUCCAUCCNNNNNNNNNNNNNNNNNNNNNNNNNNNNNNNNNNNNNNNNNNNNNNNNNNNNNNNNNNNNNNNNNNNNNNNNNNNNNNNNNNNNNNNNNNNNNNNNNNNNNNNNNNNNNNNNNNNNNNNNNNNNNNNNNNNNNNNNNNNNNNNNNNNNNNNNNNNNNNNNNNNNNNNNNNNNNNNNNNNNNNNNNNNNNNNNNNNNNNNNNNNNNNNNNNNNNNNNNNNNNNNNNNNNNNNNNNNNNNNNNNNNNNNNNNNNNNNNNNNNNNNNNNNNNNNNNNNNNNNNNNNNNNNNNNNNNNNNNNNNNNNNNNNNNNNNNNNNNNNNNNNNNNNNNNNNNNNNNNNNNNNNNNNNNNNNNNNNNNNNNNNNNNNNNNNNNNNNNNNNNNNNNNNNNNNNNNNNNNNNNNNNNNNNNNNNNNNNNNNNNNNNNNNNAGCAUCGAUCGUCUUCAGUUAGCAGCAGUAGAGAAGGAAUCGCUCGAUCGAGUUCAGUUAACAGCCAUCGAUCGACCGCUCGGGUUCAGUAACGCGUAGCCUGCAGUGCAAUCGCUCGGGUUCAGUUAGAGCCCAACGCCUCGCUCGGGUUCAGUUAGAGCCAAUGCCUCGCACACACGCGCGUACGUGUACGAGAGAAACGCGCAUCGCUCGGCCCCCGACCUCCCACUGUAACCGGGAACUCCCCAAAAUUUUCCUCGCCCUCGCUUCUACCACGGUUUUUUCCGUCAUGGACGGCCCAAAGAAUGUCAUGCAGCUGUGUCUCCGGCCCGCCCAGGACGAAAAGCCCAUUUUUUGUCAUGAUUUUUUGUCGUAGAAGUAGGAGCCCACCACAUCUAUGAUGAUACGGGUUUUGUCACAAUUAUCGUCAUAGAAGUGUCAUAUGUAUGACAGAAAAAAAAUUCGCUCGGCCCAAAAUGUCACGGAUGUGUCUUUUUUUUGUAGUGCCUGGUAUGUAUGCGGCGUAUCCUAAUAUUGUGCCUUACAUGUUUUGAUCUGAAAAAGAUCCUUCGUGUAACACGGAGAAUCGCUAAAGAUUCGAAUAAGUCGUCAAGUGGUUGACCAGCUCUCGCUGCAUCAUGACAGUCAGUUUUCGGCUUUCUCUACUGAGGCGCUCAUCCGGUCAAAGCCAGGGCACAAUCGCAGUAGUUCUCCCUUUACUACCCUAGCUGAUAGAGCAGAACGUAGGGUAGCAAGCACAGGAGCCGGGCAACCCAACUAUUGACCAAAGACAAUGAUUUCGGAGCUGAUGCAUAUAAGGCCAAACUUGCGACGCCGAAGUACGCUAUAGAGCUGUUCGGGCUUUUAUUGGCGACUCAUUUGUUCCCAUACUGAGCCCCUGGCAAGUUAUGCCAAGGUGCGUCUUUUAACACAGCCGUUGCGGCCGUACUCAUUGUAUACAGAGUUUUUAGGAUUAGCUCGGAUAAAGUUUACUAGGAGUGGAGCAAUAUGCCAAUGAUAAAUUCGUAUAAAAGGAAGAACCACAACCCGGCUAUUUGACAUGCUCGGGGUCAGGAACGGAGGAAAAGGGCAUAGUACAGGCUCAAAAUAAUGAGUGCGGUCUACAAAAAGCUAUUUUGGACCUCUUGUCGCACGUCUGCGCCGCCCGUCCUCUGGGAGGGGAGUUCUUAAUGAAAGUAGCCUCUUAGGUGAGUGUACAGGUCCGAACUCCGAUAGAGUCCGACUAGAUAUUGUCCUGAUGGUCACCUGUUUUUAAGAGAUAAUAAAGAAAAAUAUGGAAAAUAGAUUAAAAACGUUACGGGAAUGUUUGCAGGGUUGCCCGUAUUGUGCUUCCGCCGGUGCCCAUGGUAUCUUGAGCGCAUAGUGAUGUAUGCGUGGUGUGGAUCUUGCCGGUAUAGCGGGUGGGUGGCGGAAGCCGAACUGCUACUUUCGUUCCGGGAGUGGUCGUACAUCGGAGGGAAACUGUUUCUGGCCCCUGGUGUUCGGCUGGCGAGCCGAUCCGUCGUCUUCAUCGCCUGGUGGCCUCCUCCCAUUCUGUUCUGCGUUAAGCUUGCCUGCCUACUUAAAGACCCAACAGUUUCUGUUGGUGUGAUUAGCUGGCUUGUCAGGGUGGCCGUGAAUUUCACAAGGUCGGUCCAAUAUCCUGUCGAGGGUGGAUGGUCCAUCCUGGUUUGCCUUAAAUGGCUUCUUCCAUUGACCGGUUUUCGGAUUGUGAAAUCCGGCGUUGACCGUUGUGUUGCGUAGUCUUUCACUAUUGCUGCGACUGUUGUGUUUGUUUAGUCGUGGCUUUUCGUUGCCGUCUCGGAUUUCAGAAGUGCCCGGGUCGCUGGCGUUGUUGCUUUUACGAGCGAGCCAGUUGUCUUCUCCCGCACAAAAGCGAGUCAUUAGAGCGGUAAGGGCUGUCAUGGAUUUAGGUCCUUCCUGGCCGAGGUGACGUGCUAGCCAUUCGUCCCGGACGCUAUAUUUGAAGGCCGCAAGGGCUUCUGCGUCCGGACAGUCGACAAUUUGGUUCUUUUUGACUAAGAACCUAGUCCAGAGUUCCCUGGCUAACUCGCUGGGCUGUUGGACAAUGUGACUUAAGUCAUCGGCAUCGGAUGGCCGGACGUAUGUUCCUUGGAAGUUGUCACGAAAGGCGUCUUCCAAAUCUUCCUAGCUGCCAAUAGAAUUUUUCGGCAAACUAUUUAGCCAGUACCGCGCUGGCCCCUUAAGCUUGAGAGGCAGGUAUUUAAUGGCAUGAAGGUCGUCUCCACAAGCUAGGUGGAUAUGGAGGAGGUAAUCCCCAAUCCAUACUGCGGGAUUUGUUGUUCCGUUGUAUGAUGCGAUGUUGAUGGGUUUAAACCCGUCUAGAAAUUUGUGCUCCAUUACCUCAUUGGUGAAGCAAAGAGGGUGUGCGGCUCCUCUAUGUUGGGACACACUGUGAAGCACCUCCGUUGGAUGCCGUUGGCGGCCUCGGGCGUGGUUGGCUCGGUUAAGUCCGGCUGAUUGACCAUCAUCACCGGUCGGGGCAUAUCCCCUCGAUCUGUACGUCGAUCUUGUCUCUCCUGUUCCACCCACUAAGUUUUGGCGGAUGUCGCGAUUGUUUUCCCGAACCGUGUUGUUCUUACGACCGUAUUGGUUAGUAUGUUGUUCUGCUUGGGCUGCUGCUUUAUCCGGACCAAACUGUGGUCGACCUGCCGCAUUGUUUAAUGGUGGAAUGGGCUCCAACGCCUUGCCAUCAUGUGGAGGGAGCCACCUGUUCUUGGGGUGGCUUUUGUCCGGGCCACUAGGGUUGUAUUCUAUGGCGGCUAGGACCUCGGUCCAUUUAUCAUUGAGCAGAUCUUGGCUUGCUUGAAGCUGCAACUGUUUUAUUCUUAGAUUCCUUGUUGUGGCCAUUAGCCGGCGUUUAAAGCGCUCCUGCUCGAGAGGUUCCUCCGGCACGAUGAAUUCUUCGUUGUCGAGGCUCUCCUCCUCCUCGGAGAGGGGAAGAUAAUUACUAUCCUCCGAGUCUCCGUACAUGACCUGUUCAUCGGGGCUAUCUUGCCCGCUUUCCUGGUCCUCCUGUUCGGAUCCUGCCUCAACAGGGUCUUCGUUGUCCGGCGUAUUAUCACCUCCGGUGCUAGUAUUGUUUUCUCUUGAGUGGCGUGACUGAGAGUGGCGCGGGGGGCGCAGGUGUUCGGACUGUAUACCAGGAGGUUUAUCCUCGACUGGAUCCUCCUUGCCAUCGUCGAGAUCGUCGUUGGGUGUGUCUACCAUGCACACGUCAUACCAGGAAGUGGUCGUCCCACGUCUAGCGGAUAGUAAGCUCUGGCCCUGCCCUUCAUCGUCGUCCCAGACCGCCGAUGUCUUCGGAGCAGAGGCCAGGCGUGUUGGUUGGGUCUUCGACGGUGGCUAUGAAGUGGGUGGCGGGUGGGAAACAAAAUUCUCCAUCAUCCGCCGUAAGGUCGAACCGAACAUAGUUCGGCGAUGAGCCGUCUGCCAGGGAUAGGUUUUUUAGUGAGUUUAGCAGGUCGCCCAUGGGCGAGUGUUGGAAGUUGUCCGCGGCGCUGAACUUGAAGAUUGAUAACCGAUCGAGUUCGGUAUCUACGGGCUCGCAGGGUUCGGAACUCGAUAUCGGAGACGAGUCCGGGGUUCCGUUGGUGCAGGUAUCAUAUGAAGAGGGAUCUGCGUGUGGCCCCAACGCCACGGACUCAGUGGCCCCCAUGAUGGGGUUGAUCCUCCCACCUUCGGACGUCUUGAUCUGCUCCGGAUCUAAGUCCAGAGUUGUUGCAGGAGCUAUCUCCUGGAUGCGGCCCGAGGACAGGUUUAAGCCAUGUUCAACGGGGCGAAGGGGAGCGGUUGCCGCAGUCUCAAAUCCGUCGAAAAUCAAGUCCCCAUAGAUGUCUGCGACAUAGUUCAAACUUCCGAAUCUGACCUGAUGGUCAGGGGCGUAGCUGUCGAUUUGCUCCAGGUGGCCGAGCGAGUUGGCCCGCAGUACGAAGCCGCCGAAUACGAAGAUCUAUCCGGGGAGGAAGGUUUCUCCCUGGACCACGUCAUGACUGAUGAUCGAAGGAGCCAUCGAACCUUUCAGUGACGGCACAGUGGAACUCUCAAUGAAAGCACCAAUGUCGGUGUCAAAACCAGUGGAUCUCGGGUAGGGGGUCCUGAACUGUGCGUCUAGAAUCGAUGGUAACAGCAGACGGGGGACACAAUGUUUACCCAGGUUCGGGCCCUCUCUAUGGAGGUAAUACCCUACUUCCUGCUUGAUUGAUCUUGAUGAAUAUGAGUGUUUACAAGAGUUGAUCUACCACGAGAUCGUAAUGGCUAAACCCUAGAAGUCUAGCCUAUGAGUAUAUGGUAAUGAAUCUGUCCUAUCCGUACUAUGCCCUUCGGUUUAUAUAGACACUGGAGAGAUCUAGGGUUACAUGGAGUCGGUUACAUAGGAGGAAAUCUUCAUAAUCGAUCGCCUAGCUUGCCUUCCACGCCAAGUAGAGUCCAAUCCGGACACGGGUAUAGUCUUCGGCCUUCAUGUCUUCGUAGCCCAUCAGUCCGGCCCAACAGAUAACUGGCCGGAUGCCCGAGGACCCCUUAGUCCAGGACCCCCUCAGCCACCUUCGUGCAACUCCUUCCUCGUUUCCUGUGCUACUUGCCGGUUGGGAGGAGCCCUCCGGGACGACACCUCAAGAUCAUCUGCCCUAUUGGGCGAGGAGGCCGGAGAAGGUGUGUCACUCUCCAUCAUCUCCGGCAGAAGGUCUCCCGAGGAGGAGGACGAUUGAGAAACACUAGGCGUUAGCCUGCGAGGACGUACAUAUGUCGGAGGAUUACUUCAGUAAUAAGAAAGGAAUGAGGUAUGGUUAAAGUACCCUGUCACUUACGGUCUGGCCGGAGGUUCAUCCUCAUCAUCAAGCUCUGCAUCGACAUCGCUCGCCUGACCCAAACCGUCUGAUGAUGGCGUUUUUCCUUUCUUGGAAGGUUUCCCCUCCUGAUCUCCAGAAGUGGCCCUCUUCUUGCUAUGAAAGGCCCCCUCUACACCUUUGCCCCUGGACAAAAGGGUUUCGGUUUCCCCGAACACAGCGUCUGAAUCGUCCUCAGGGCGAACAUCUCCUUUGGGCUCCCCGCUCUCACCCCCUCUGCAGACACCUGGUACGGUGUCGGAGUUAACAUCCGCGUCAGCAGGGCAGACGCGGGGUCUUCGGGAAGGGGCGCCGGACACCGGAUCAGCACCGCUUUCUUUAUCCAGUCCUGUAUAAGGACAGGUCGUUCAGUAUCUUGUCAAGAGAUGCUUGAAUGAAAGGUGUUCGGAGAUUGAAUACUUACCGGAGUGUCCGGAUGAUUGCAGUCAAGGCCAACGUCUUCAGUGGUGUCCGGCCAUUGCUCUCGCUCCCCGAAAUAUAAUCUCCACGUCCCUUCGUGCGUAGCACCGAAGAAGUGCUGAAGAGUCCGCCGCCCUUCUGGAUUAAACUCCCACAUACGAAGAGGCCGCCGCUGACAUGGCAGGGUCUGGCGGACUAGCAUUACUUGAACAAUGUUCACAAGUUUGAUGCCCUUCUCAGUAAGGCUUCGGAUGCUACUUUGCAGAGUCUGCACCUCAUUGGCGGACCCCCAGUCUAAUCCCUUAUUGAUCCAUGAAGUGAGCUGAGUUGGACGGCCGGGUCGGAAAGCGGGCGUAGCUGCCCACUUGGAGCCCCGCGGCUCGUUGACAUAAAACCACCCCUGCUGCCAUAGCUCGGAAGACUCGGCGGAAGAUCCUUCAAACCAAACCGCGCUGGCGAGCUUGCGUAUUAUGGCGCUGCUGCACUCUGCCCGCUCCUCCUCUGUCACCCGCGGCCUCACGUUGAAAGUCUUGAGCCACAAACCAAAGUGCGGAGGAAUCCGGAGGAAGGCCUCACACAUGACGAUGAAUGCCGAGAUGAGAAGAAUAGAGUCCGGGGCCAGAUCGUGAAAAUCUAGCCCAUAGUAGAACAUGAGCCCCCGAACAAAGGGGUUAAGCGCGAACCCUAACCCAUGGAGGAAGUGGGACACAAAUACUACCCUCUCGCCGGAUUUGGGGGUGGGAAUAAUCUCCCCCUCGGCAGGAAGCCGAUGAAGGAUUUUUGGGGUCAGGUACCUCGCUACGCGGAGCUUCGCAAUAUCCUCCUCCGUGACGGAAGAGGCCACCCACCGACCUGAACGGCUGGACCUGGACAUGAUUGGGGCUGGUGGUGAUUGGAACUCGGGGGCUAGAACUCGAGGUGGCUGGGGUUGAGGAAGAAGCAAUCACGGAAGAAGAAGACAAGUCUGGGUCCCUAUAUGAUGGCCCAGAAUAUCGAGCGUCCCCUCCUAGGUCUUGAAACUUACCUAUCCCCAAAGAGUUGUACCCAGGGGACGGUUGGGUUACCCAUACCUGCAUUAUUGAAAAUCCAGCAAAUAAGGGGACACGAUCUCUGCUUUGACAAGACGUGCCAAUAAAACCGCUUCCCGAGACGUGGGGCGACGGGCUAGCUAAUGGUUGGAAAUAAUAACCAGGCAGGCGUGAUACAAUGUCAUAAACAGUUGUCAGCAGAUUGGACACGUGGAGUAUUGUAUUUUCUGCAAAUUAUAUACACAGGUCCGGAUACUAUCAUCACAUCCGAAGACUACCUAGGGGUUCGGAAGAAGGGGAACCCGCCUUGCAAUGCCGAAGACAAUCUGCGCGCCGGACUCCUCGUCAUUGAAGCCAGGUUCACGGGCUACUGAGGGAGUCCUGACUAAGGGGUCCUCCGGCGUCCGGCCUGUUAUCUAUGGGCCGGACUGAUGGGUUGUGAAGACACGAAGACCGAAGACUAUACCCGUGUCCGGAUUGGACUCUACUUGGCGUGGAAGGCAAGCUAGGCGACCUAUUAUGAAGAUUUCCUCCUAUGUAACCAACCUCAUGUAUCCCUAGAUCUCUCUGGUGUCUAUAUAAACCGGAGAGCAUAGUCCGGAUAGGACAGAUUCAUUACCAUAUUCACAUAGGCUAGACUUCUAGGGUUUAGCCAUUACAAUCUCGUGGUAGAUCAACUCUUGUAACACUCAUAUUCAUCAAGAUCAAUCAAGGAGGAAGUAGGGUAUUACCUCCAUAGAGAGGGCCCGAACCUGGGUAAACAUCGUGUCCCCCGUCUCCUGUUACCAUCGUUCCUAGACGCACAGUUCGGGACCCCCUACCCGAGAUCCGCCGGUUUUGACACCGACAACCGGCUUCCGCCACGAUAGCCACCAUGCCGCCUCCUCCGCGCGGGCGGAGACGACAAUGACACGCUAGUUCCUCCUCGCCGGCGUGCUGGAGCGCGCGCUCGUCCUCCUCUUCAUACGCUGCGUGCAUAGACGCGGCUCCACCAGCUGCUCGCGUGCUUGACAGCGCGGCGCGAUCGUGAGGAGGGAUUGCAGACGACAUGAGCGGGCGAGCCUUCGGCUUCAUGGCAUAGAGAUGGCGGCGACACGGUGGUGGUGGGCGAGAAAUUGUUGGCCGGAGCAGGCGGGCGCCGGCAUGCGCAACGGCGGCGGCGGCAUAUUGAUGAGUGCGCGUAUGGGAGCUUAGUUUAGUUUUAUAUAGGGUUGGUCAAACUUAAAAGAAAAGCGUACUAGUACACGUAAACAUUAGACUUUGGCAGCGGUUUUAUUAGUUACCACAGCCACGAUACAAAAUCCUAUGCAAGCGCGUGAACCGCGGCCGCGCGGUUGAUCGAACGGUGCGUCACCGUGUCGCGCUCGAAGGACAUCCACCGAACCUUUUUGUGUGUGUGAAAACAAUCCCCAAAUAUUACUCAACUUUUUUCCGGGAAAAGUUCUUGACGCUACAAUAUUUCCAUAUAUUUGAAUUUAGCUCCAGUUCGUGUUUAUUUGGAUUUGGACAUUUUAGGUGCGCCCUAGUUUUUUUAAUACUGAUUUUGUGUGUGUGACUAAGAGAGAACGUGUGUAUGUGUCCACAUGUGUGUUGUGGCGGAAGAGCAAUGUGGAGACAGUGUGCGUGUGAUAGAGACAGAGAGGUCUGAAUGUGCAAAUGAUCAUGCAUGAGUGAGACAUAGACAGAUGCCGAUACGUUGUGUAUACAUGAGAGAACGGUCUUCUAUUUUACUUGUGUGUGUGUGUGUGUGUGAGAGAGAGAGAGAGAGAGAGAGAGAGGAGCAUCCGUAACACAACAACCAUCUCUCUUGAUUCGUCCGUCCCUCGCACGAUCACAUGUAACACAUGCAUCAACGCGCACAUUUUGACACCCUCACCCGGCCCCUGCCCACCUCAAGGCCCGCACAUCGCUCUCUAUCUCGCACGCACAAUCUCUUCGUGAAUACCCUAUUUAGCAUGUAGCUUUCCGUCACAUACACACACAUUUCUCUCCUUAGGUUUGUUUUCUCUCAAUAUCUGACACACACACACACACAGCACAAAGCACACACACCCCCCUCCCCCGAGCACACAAUUCAUCCCCAUCCAAGGUUAUAUGGUGACCACUCUCGCUUGUGCUUCUCUGCACCCCAGCAUGCACAACACCUCAAUCUUCAAAGAGGGCAUCGAGGAGAUCGAAGACGGCGACCACACUGCGCUAGAGAAUGCGGGGCCAUUUGGAAGCAGGAUGAUGUGACGACGGCUGACUGACUCCUCCCCCCCACCCUCUCUCUCUCGCACAAAAUUACCAAUCCCUCUCUCCCCCGCACAAAUUUAUCAAUCCCUCAACCCACGAGAUCCUUCCCCUCUCAUCCAUGUUUUUCCAGCUCUCUCAUCAAACCUGUUGUCUCUUCUCCUUCCACAUGUACAGAAUCCGGAUGCACACGCAUCUCACGUAUAUUACAUGUCUCCAUCUUUCUCACAGACCUAACUUCUUCCUCUCUCUUUCUCUCUCUAUCUCCCUCUCUCUGUUUCAUUAGGUUUGUCUCCUACUCUCUCGUCCACAUACAUACAAUCUUUCCCGCCCUAUCUACUCCAUCUUCGCAAGCUCUCUCUGCAUGUUUCAUUCACACAUUGGGAUAUGUUCAAAAUGUUGCUUUUAUAAUGGCUGAUGUAGGGUUAUUGUUGGUUUUGUUGCAUCCUACAAAGUAAUAACUAUGAAAUGCAUUUUGAUUGUCAUUUGACUGGGAUUAUGCGAGUUUGAGCAUGUUGUGAAGUACUAUAGACCUCGUAUACAUCUUGGAAUUCGACAAUGAUUGUAACUAUUGAAUUGUAUAGACCAUUACAUUCGAAGUCAGUAGCCUAAUAUAUUUAUUUCACAAUUUCAACCAAUGAUUGAUUCACUACAUACUAAGAAAACAAAUGUGUACACCCUCCGUUUUUAUUUAAGUGCGUAUUAGCAUUAGUCAAAGUCAAGUUUUGUAAACUCUCAGAGAGUUUAUAACAAAAAAUAUUAACAUAUACAAUAACAAAUAAAUACCAUUAGAUUCAUUAUUGAAUGUACUUUCACAUCAUACAUAUCUGUUAUGGUAAAUGUUUAUAUUUUUCUAUAAAAUUGGUCAAACUUUAGGAAGUUUGACUUCGGUCAAACCUAAUAUGCAGAGUUUACUAGUACUACUCGCUAGUUGCUUAGCCGAAUCACCCAACACGUCACACGGGGAGUUCAGUGUCACAAAAUUUUGAGGUCGCGGGAGAGUCUGAUUCGAGCAGUGGGAAGUUACCAUCAUAGCCUUCGAAACAGGCCCACGGAUCACGGUUGGUAGGGGGCUGUUUUCGUAACUUUAGGUUCACCCUACCCAGCCAACCCCACCCCGGCACCCAGAGUAGUACACCUGAAUACUCCCCAUUUUCUAUCCCCACCGCAAAAUAGACUUCUCCACGGCACGGCAGCCUUCGUGCUCCUCCCCUUCUACAUCGGCGCACUCGUCCACCGCAGCGCAUUUGCCUCAUCGACGACCUCGUACGCCACACUGGAGCCGGUCCACCGUUGUCGUUGUACACGGAGCCUCUUCCCCGGCACCGUCUUCCACGGUCUCGGAUCUGCUUCCUGGAAGUCGACGCCAAGCGCAGAAGCACCACCGUCGUGGACAAUGAACUGACUCCCGUUGCCGACCAUGACUCACAGAGGCCGCCACAACCAUCGUUCUCCUCCUCGAUUGGUAAUGUGUGUAUUGAAUCACUUAGCAGUACAUGUGCAGUUCCAAUUUUGUUCAUACCUACCCUUCAAAUUUCCUGGGUGCUAUUGUUCCCGUAAAAGUAAUUGGUUAUAGCCUCCAUUGUCCAACAGAAUAUCAGCUUGUAAUUGUGCGUCGCUCCUGUAUCGCGCUGUGCUUGGGUAGGUUUUUCAUCUGCAACCAGUAGUGUGGCAAAUGAUGGAAAGUUUUUUAGAACUAGCAAGAUGCCCAUGCGUUGCACGCAUCAAGAUGCAUUUGUAUGAGUAGUUUAUCUUGUGGGAGAAAAGGAUGAAUGAGGGAAUGCCUUAUUUGCAAAAACGGAGAGGGGUGUGGGUAUCUUUUUGCAAAAUUGCCACAGUUUCCUUCCUAUCCGUCGGAUAUAAAUCGGAUGGCCUAUAUUGUAGGAUGGCAGGAACACCAUCAUCACCAACUCUGUUUUUUAUACGAGUAGGGAAAAAGUAGAGAAAAAAAGUAGAGAGUAGAGAAGUAGAGAUAAAUAUUAAAUAUAAAAUAAAUAUAACAGUAGAGAAGAGAGUAGAGAUAGCAGAGACGUCGGGAAAGGAUUGCGCGUGCGCGGGAAAAAGCGGUCGGGCGUGCGCUAGUUUUGGCGCGCGGCGUCCGGCGCGCUUUAUAAAAUCCAACGCCCUCCCACCGCUCUGUGCCUUGCCACCGCUCUCUCCCCGCUCUGUGCCUCACCACCGCUCUCUCCCCGCUCUUUCUCGCCUCACCGCUGCCGCGCCACCAUGUCGCCGCGUCGCCGGGAAACUUGGGGAUACCGCGGCGUCCGCGCGCCCCCCUCUGGCGGCUUCUCCGCCGAGAUUCGGUUCUGCGGGAUGCGCCUCGGCCUCGACAAUUUCGACACCGCCAACGAGGCCGCCCGCGCGUAUGACGCGGCGGCGUGGCGCCUCCGGUGGCCUCAUAGAACAUUGAACUUCCCCAACGUGCCGACGCGGGAGCGGGCAUAGGAGCUCGCGCCUCUGCCGCGACUUAUCACCGACGAGGAUCAUCACGACAAACGGAGGCGGAAGCACCGUCUCGGCAUCGCCAAGAUGGACGAGGAAGCCAUGGCGCUGUGGCGCCAACGCUUCCCGCAGGACAUCAUCAACGAGCGCGAGUUCUACGAGCAAAGGAGGGCGGAGAGGGAUAAGAGGAGGGCGGAGCGAGCCGCCUAUCGCGUGGACAAGCGUAGGCGAAAAGCGGACGCUCAAUUCAACGAGGCUAGGAGCAGCGUCGCCCUGGGAAUCCGACGAUGAUCGGUAUCUUCACGCCUACAGUAAGACGUCGGAGGAGGACAUCACCGAGGAGGAGUCGGACGACGAGGAGUAGUUGAAUAAUCUAUUUUUUAUCUAUCUAUAUGCUGAGAACUAUCCUCUACUCUCUAGUCUCUACUCUCUAUCUCUACUUCUCGAUCUCAGCACUGUAAAUGCUUUUUAAAGCGCCGCGCAUUGCAAUCUGUUGGAGAUGCUCUAACAUGGCAGACGAGUGCUUUAAUGUUGCCCACAAGAUGCGCGAGUAUUACUAGUAGUAUAUUUUUCUUGCCAUGUUGAGAUUUUAAAACCACGAGUGCGAACAUGCAGAGGAGCAAUGAAGACCAAACACGGGAUAUUGGGGACAUCUUCAAGGAGCAUGGCAAGUUAAAGAGGAGCUGCACCGAACCUGUAAAACGAGCUUUGGUAAGUAACAACCUUUCAAUUACUUUCGUUUAGCCUCGUGUUCUUCGAUGUGUAUAUGUUGUAGUUUCUGUUUCUCUUAAGCCUCGUGUUCUUCGAUGUGUCAUAAGAAGAGUCUUUAUCGUCCUAAUGCUUUCGUUUUUAGCUUGAUGUAGGAAGUGGGUGUUCUCACCUUGUAGUCUGUUUUUAUUUUUUAUUUUCCUUUUGAAUUCACUUCUCCCAGUUCUGUUUAUCUGGCUUCUACUAAAUGGAUCUGGGUUGCUUUGAGUAUUGAUCUAAAAAAGAAGUAACUUCAUGUCAGGAUGCAGUUCCUGUGAGGAGGGAAGUAUGGUCAACCUUGAGAUCAUGUUUCCAGAAUGAGGCUGGAUUACACACAAGGUGCCAGUUCCCUAAUGAUGCUGGAUUAGACACAAGGUGCAAACUCCCAGAUGAUGCUUGAUUACACACAAGCCAGGUGGAGUCGUCAGCUGUUCGUGUCCUCGUGGCUCUAGUAAAGGCUGAAAGAAAGCGUGCAGCAUCCCUUGAGAAUGUAGCUGAGUUCCUGAAGAAGUGAAAAGAGCAAUCAGAUGCUCUCUUCACCCAUGCCAAAGAAGAGAUGGAAGAAGCCAGAAAUAAGCUAGCAGAGGCAGAGCAAGCUAGGCGUCUCCUGCUGUCUAAAACUGUUGUCAAUACAAAAUUUCCUUCAUAGUAGCUAGGUUCAAAUGUUUAUCCAGUCAGCAUGCCUAUUGUGAUGUCCGUGCAUCUACUGAUGUGGCACAAUUUUUUUUCCGGGUCAUGUAAUAACAGCAAUUACUUUCCAAACAAUAACAGACGAAGCAUUGGACAUGGUAUAGUUCACGCGCAAGCCCGACAUUCCAAGUUCACCUUCCACAUCAAACUCAUGUUCACAGAUAUCUCCACAUUCAUACAUAAUGUCCACAACCAUGAUUCACUUCAAAGCCAAAAAAAUUGAGGAGUUAUGAAUAAAGAAAAACCUCUAGUUCCUGCUACCAGUGCGAGCACAACAAGUCAAGACCAUGCGUAAUUCAUUAUAUUUUGGUCAUUUUUUGUGUUCUAAAAUCCCGGCCGGCUCGCGGAAGGACGUGUUGCCGGCACACGCGCGGAUUCAAUGAAGGCAGGCGGGGCAGUCUGAAACCGGUUGCAUGCGGCGAGGAGGCGUGUUCAGCCGGGCCUGCAGCGAGUGGGGCCCUCUUGGCCGGCGCGCCGGUUCAAUGCCUGCGCUAUGAGAGGUCGCAUUCGUAUCAGAGCAAACACUCCCUCCAGUCCUUUUUUGUUUGUGUAUAAAAAAAUCUCAUUUUCCAUUCACAUUUUACAAGUAAAAUUUGUGGACAAACUUUGACCCAAAAUACGAUGGGGACUAGUAUACCAGAACGGAGGUAGUAGUUUUUUUAAUCAAAGAAGGGUUUCCCCCUUCCGAUUUUCAUUACUAAAAACCAACAUCUAAAUAUAAACCAUGGUAUUUGCCCUAGAACUACCAGGUUCAAUAUCUCGCAACAUAAACCCAUACAACCAUACGCCAAGGAGGUACGUAGUACUAUAUAUGAAUUCCAUUUUCGCUCCAUACCAAUCGUUCUAAAGACUGCUUAGUACUUAUAACGCGUCAUUGAAAAUCGGAACUCUUAACCCCGCUAAAAAAUGAUAUUUUAAACGUGGCUACUCGAUCUGUGGAAACUGGUGAGCCACCACCGCCUCCAAGUCAUUCACCUAUGGUCACGACCAUCAACUCCUACGGAUCAAAUUAUCACGCGAGCUGACUAUUCCUACAAAGGUGCACUCCACCACGUACCCGGUACCCGCGAAUGCAGCAAUCGUGCACCUAGGGUUUUAGGGUUUAUUUGUUAACGUUGCCUUUACGUAACACUCAUGUGUGCGAGACAGCGAGAGACCGACUGCGUGCGUGCGCCUCUUCUCUUCGUAUAUGUACUCCACCGUUUGUCUGGUGUCCAAAAAAUUAUAAUAACUACUAGCAAUGUGCCAAUGCGUUGCCACACGAUCAGAGUAGAUUAAUACAUAUUCACCGAUUUAAUAGAAAAAAAGUCUAGUUUUGAAAUACGUAUAUCACUAAAAAAAAUGUUAUGUUUCACUCAAAAUAUAUUCCUUUGGCGGUUUUGAUGAGAUAAGGGAGGAAUGUUGUUGGUUUCAAGAUUCGAGAAGUGGUAUAUGUCUAAUUUCUACUCUUACUAGCAAGAUGCCCGUGCGUUGCACGGAACAUCAAGAUCUUGUGGGAGAAAAGGAUGAACGAGGGAAGGCCUUAUCUGCAAAUGUGGAGACGAGUGCGGGUAAAUUGCCAUAGUUUUGUUCCUAUCCGUGAGAUAUAAAUCGGACGGCCUAUAUUGCAGGAUGGCAGGCCCACCAUCAUCACCAACUCUGUUUUUUAUCCCUACUCUUAUAAAAAGCAUAGUCGGUGAUGAUCGUGUGCCUGCCAUCCUGCAAUAUAGGUCGUCCGAUCUAUAUCUGACGGAUAGGAAGGAAACUAUGGCAAUUUUGCAAAAAGAUACCCACACCCCUCUCCACACUUGCAAAUAAGGCCUUCCCUUGUUCAUCCUUUUCUCCCACAAGAUAAACUACUCAUACAAAUGCAUCUUGAUGUUCUGUGCAACGCAUGGGCAUCUUGCUAGUUGUUGCAAAAAGCCCAUGUGUGUGAGAGAGAGAGGGAGAGAGGAGGAGGACGGAGUGCAUGUGUGACAAAGACACAAAGAGUGCGAGAGGUAUCAGCUUAAAAUGAGGCGAUAGUGUGUGUGUGCACGAUCGAGAGGGCGUGUCUCAAGAAGGGAAGAAAAAUCUACAUAGAUACAAGUAGUGGGAGAGAGACAUGUUGCGAUAGUGGAAGCACAAGUGUGCGGGUGUAUAAACCUAUCUAGAGGCCAGUCGAUAAAUGUUUGUGAAAGAAAUACGAGUCGGGGUGCGAAAGCGAGAGUUUUGUGUGUGAGAGAGAGAGAUGGUAGUCGGGAAGGGGAGUGGUAGCAAGAGUUGUGUGUGUGAGAGAGAGAGAGGCGGGAGUUUGUCUGAUCGGUAAACAAAUGAAUAAUGUCAGUCUGGGAUGGAGACGAAAAGGAGACCGCAACAAAUGUUGUGUCUACAAGAGAGAGAGAGAGUAAUUUUAGUGGUAUGAUUCAUAUCUAGAUACAUAUAGGGUGCGUGAGAGAAUCCCAUAGAGAGAAAGACAAAGUGAAAGACGAGUGGAGACUGUGUGUGUGGCGGUGAAAAAGAAAGCUUAGGCACCUAGUGAUACGAGAGAACGGUAGAGACGUGAGAGAUAAUGAAAACCGUGUAAUGUAUAAUAAUAGGGAGAGUGUGACACUUCUCAAGGGAGACGUCGAGAGACCAUGUUUGCGAGGAUAGGAGAAACAUGAAGUGGGCGUGCGGGUGAGCUGGAGAAAAGAGAGUGAUAGCUACAUGAAGGAGCAUGCAUGCGAGAGAGAUGGGCGUGAAAGGAGUGAACCUAAAAGGGAUUCAAAUAUUUGAAUUCGAGAUGAUGAUACAUGUAAUCCAUACUCGAACCAAAAUUGAUCUAUCAAACAUGCAUACUCAUAUGAAUUCACGCGCAUCUAUGUUAUUUAAUAUGUAGAUAUUACUGAUCCAUACAUUUUAGUAGAACAUAAUUUGGUUUAAUUUUUUGAAUUCAACCUUAUGAUUUUGAGAUCAUUGUAUUUGUAAAUCAUAUUAUACAUAUAAAGGAGCAGAAUUCUUUGUUGUGCUUUUGAAAGUAUAUAUAAAUAAGUGAUGUAUAUAGAAUUUUAUUCCAAUCGAAAAUGGAUCCCGCCCGAAAAAAUAUAAUACAAACUGGAUUCGAAUUGAGUUGGCAUGGUAAACGUGCACUCUGCAAAAUUUGAACGAAGCGGGGAAAGUCGCAGUAACCGCCCGAAACCAAAAUCUGCGAGAUGGAAAUUACUACUGCCUAUCCCUGCCACGCAAAGCCUAUCUGCUCGAUUUCUACAGGUUUCGAUAGGGGUAGGUUUGUAAUUUCACUCAAACAUGGCAUAACCGCCUCUCACCCGGAUUCAUACACGGUGGGCGCCAAAACACAGUGUGUCCUCGGCCGAAAUCGACUCCCUCCCCUAUUCAUACACGGCGGGCACCAAAAACAAACUCUCGUCGGCAAAUAUUCGGUGUAUGCGAGAUUACCGUCCUAUCCCCAACCGACUAAUAUUGUUGUGAUCUAGGGAAUUUGAAACUGGGGCUAAGUUUGUAAAUUUCCUCGCAUUUGAGACAAGCGCGCCCUGAAGACAUGGUUCCCCCUUCCUCUCCACCUCCAUUUCCCCAUUCGUACUCCGUGGGCGCCAAAACACCCUCUCCACCCCAGCCUCCUCUGUCCGCCACCCCAUCCACCGUCGUCCUCCUCCACCAUGCCGGAGAUGAUACCCCGACGCCGCCGUCCAUUACAAGAGAUCGACCUCUCUCAUCCACGGCUUCGGACCGGGAUCCUUGCAUCCCAUCCUCUCACUUCAUCCCUGCCGUCGUCCACCUUGCCGGCGCCGCUCCUACAACCGUCUCGUCCACCGCGCCCCGCCGCCACCGUCUACCCUCCUAGAUCUGCUUCCACGCCGCCGACAACCAACGCUACCGCAGCACCGUCAAAUUCUCAGCAGAUGCAUACACGGCGCCGCACCAGAGGCGGUACUCUUUCGUAUCUGCUCAACUUAUUUAUCGCAGCAAGAAAAUAGAUCGCCACUGCUUUACUCUGAUUUCUUGUCCAUCACUUACUUGCUAGUUGAAAGCAAACAUUGGUUGCGAAGUUGCCUUUGUCUGGUUUGCACCUUCAGAUCUGCCAUGGCACACUCAACACUAUACUCCCAAUGCUUAUUGUUUUCGACUUUUAUAUUCCACACUAGUUAAAUCACAGUAGACUAAAUUUCAAAAUUGGGUUAGUCAAUUUUCCAGAGCUCGCCGGAGUUCGCCGGUGCGAACGAAGGGGCUCGGGUGGGGACUUUGGUUGUGGGGGGCGGUGGUGGGGCCUCGCCGAAUGAAGAAAACUCGAUGCGGGUGGGCGCGGGGGUGGGGGGUGGGGGUGGCGGAGGAACACAGGCGGUGGGGGCCGGUGGUCCGGCCGGCGGCCCGUGCGGUGUUCUGUAUGGGAAAAAUCAGAGACGAGGAAGAAGAAGGGUUAGGAGACAUAGGAUCUUCAUCCAACCGCCUGAAAUGGUCGACUGACCCAAAUGACAAAAGUCAUGCGACUUGCAUGCAGACAUGCCUUUAUAUUCAGUACCAUCAUCGUACCUGCUUAGCACUGCUCCUGAAUCCAUCAAGCUGAACAACGUGCCACUCAUAAUUUCAAACUUGUUGCUCAAGUACGAAUCUGAUAUGAUGUUGAUAUUACUAAAACAGAUAACAUUCAAUUGGUCAGCUAAUGUUCCUACUUUACUUUCGAAAAGCACGUGCACCACAUAUAGAGAGACAGCAGGGAGUUGCUUUCUUAAUGCGCUCUGGUUCAUCAUGUGUGGGCACUGCGCAACGAACAUUUUAUUAUCCAAAAUCUGCUUGCUCUUCUUUAGCAUGUUCCUCUUCCGUUCUUCUUCAAUAAGUACUCUCUCCGUUCCUAAAUACAAAUCUUUGUAUAGAUUCCACCAUGGACUACAUAUGGAGCACAAUGAGUGAAUCUACACUCUAAAAUGUAUCUAGAUACAUCUGUAUGUAUCCAUAGUGGAAAUCUCUACCAAGACUUAUAUUUUGGAACGGAGGGAGUAUGUUAGUAGUACAAUAUGUUCCUUGUAGUGAAGAUGAGCAGGGACAUUUGCAGUGUAGAGGUCUAUACGGUCAGGUGUGAUGGACACUUUGAACUCUUCGGGCCUCUUUGAUUCGUAGGAUUUUCUAAACAUGGGAAUAGGAUUUGUAGUGGCUUGCCCACUUGAAUCCUAUAAGAAUAGCAAGGAAAUGCGGGGAGCAGUGUCGCCUUUGAGAGUUACACUGAUAUUAACAGUACCGCGCCUUCAGUUGAAGAGAGCUGGUAUCCGAAGCCUUUCUAGCCGUACCGGCAAUACUAGCACAUAUAUUCCAGCAAGUUCCACUUUGCUGAUUUUACUCUAAUGCUUACGGUUUUCCCGUUAUAUCUACACUAUGAUCUGUGUAGCUGCUUUGUGUCGCACUAGCAGCAGUCCACUCUUGAAGCUAAACACCGCAAUCACUUACAAAAUUGGCACCAAGGCAUUGAGUGCCAUUCUGGAUGCAAUGAAACUCAUACGCUCCCCACUUGUUGAUUCUUGUUCAGAAUAUGAUCCUAAUGACUAUUCUAACCUCGAGGAGUCAAAGGCAGAUGGCCUGUCCUGUUCACCCAUCAAGGUGCCUGUUCUAAUUUGACAAGGUUUUAUUGAUUGCGCGUAUCUUGCAUAUGUUGUCUUUCAUUUCUUCUACUUUGUUGCACCGCCAUCUGCUUAGUUUACUCAUCAUAUAUGUCGAGAUGCCAUGCCCAUCCAUUAUCAAUACAUAUUCCAUCUAUCAUCAUACCAUGCUUUUCCACUCAAAUGUUGUUCUUGUGCUUCAGACAUCAAAAAGGAAGAGGGUGAUUGCCGAACCUGAAGGAGCACCAGCAAAGUCCUUGAAAAAUGUGGUUGUGCUGGAGAAAUCAGACAACACCCCACUUAUAUUGGCUGUACAACCAGUGACACAAAAUGUAGGACCGACUCUAGCAGACUGUACCCAUACUUCACUGGCCACACCACUAGCCGCACCACACAGGACCUGCACUCCAGCAAAAGGUAUGCCGAUUUCAGUUGCCAUAGCACCAGCCGUACCACAGAAAGAUCCCACUCCAGCAAAAAGUACAGCAAGUCCACCGGCCGAAGACCUAUCCCAACUGCAGAGACGGCCAAUUCCUGCAGAUUGGAACCCCAUUCCAGUUAUUCCUAGUUUAAAAGACAAUGCUUUCAAUGUUGUUAGGGACUACGUGCAUAUAUUCCCAUCAUGGGAAGAUUAUAGUGAAGACAAACACCAUUUUCACAUCUUCCUGUCCCACUUACGUGUAAGUGCUAUUAUUCAUGGUGACUAUUUUCCUGUUUUCUGCUGAUUGAACACAUCAAUGAUUUACAUUACAUUGUUGUAAGUAGGCAAGGGUCAAUCUGGAUAGUCAUGACGAGCAAAGCUUGCUUGCGCUUUUCAAGGAAGCAUUGCAGCAGUAUCGGUGUUACCUGAGGAAAUCACACUUUGAUGGCAAGUCUAUAAACGAAUUUCUGGUGAAGUAUCAUGUGCUAAAUUUAGAAGACACUGAAUGGAAAAACCUUGUUAUGCACUGGUCUCGUUCCGAGGAUGAGGUACUGUCUAUGAUAUCGCAUGACAAUUUGAACUUCUACUUUUCCGCAUGUGCCUUACGGAUCUUUUUUGCAGGAAAUCUGCUCGAAAAAGAAUUCCGGUUUGAAAAUAACGACAGGAUAUCGCAAAAAUGCUGCCCGCUGCUUUGCUCUUGUUAGUACCGGUUGUCCUGUAUCACUGUACUUGCAUACAUACCUGGUUCAUUAUGUGACAGCAGUAUGCAUGAUAGCUUGCUUAUCAAUUGUUCGCUCCAAAUUAUCUGAUCUGUAUGAAUGGUUACAUUAGUGUAGAAUAUAUCCAAUGCCAAUGAAUUUUUUUAGCUCUGCAUUGUUCUUGUAAGUACCUGCUAUCCUUUAUCAGUGUACUUAUAUUGACAGGUAGUUGUUCAUGUACCAUCACUCUGCAGCUUAUUUUCCUUUGCCCUCCAUUUUCUACACAUAAGAUCUAUAUUUACUCUUACCAUAAGGUUGGACAACACCGAUGGUACUGAAGAAGUUUAGCUCUGCAUUGCUCUUGGCUGUACCUUUUGCCUGUAUCGCUGUACUUACAUUUAUAGCUACUUGGUUAUGUAGCAUCACGCUUCAUCUUAUCUUAAAUAUUCUCCAUUUUCUCUUAUAUUGUCACAUCUAUAUUUACUCUUAACAAAAUGUAGAAUAAAGGCAAUGCUUAUGAAGAAGAUUCUGUGGUAAACUUCUUGAAUUGCCCCCCAUCAGCAUGGACAAGGGCUUUAUAGAGCCUGCCUUCACCAAUAAUGUAACCUUGUCCUUCUCAAGCCUUCAAACUUUGUUGUGUAUAUUUGGUUAGGCAUGACUGCAACAGCUGUUUAUUUUUGGUGUUUGCAUUAAAUUGCAUGUUUAAAGUUUAUUAUGUAGUUCAUAAACAAAAGUUUGUCCUUCUCAAUUUAAGUUUUCAGUUGUACAACCAAGUUCCUUCUUCAUACCAUGUAAAUUAAACUAUACAGAGCAAGUGAUCUUCUUUUGCACUACAUGUAUGCUUCUGUUCUUGAUCCGUAAUCCAGUGGUGUGGUGAACCUACCCACUACAGCACAAUGUCAUAUUCUGCAAUGUCUUAACUAUGAACAAUGUCGUAUCAUUCUACUAUUAUUUAAACCGUCUCUUUAUUUGCCAAUUUGAAAUGGGAUAAAUUGACAGCACACUAACCAUUGAUACUUAUGAGUUCUUGAUCUGUAAUCGAGUGGUGUCGUGAAGCUGCCAACUCCUUCACAAUGUCAUUUCCUGCAUGUCUUGACCUGAACAAUACCAUAUUAUGUUAAUGCAAUUUUAAACUGUGUCACUUUAUUCAUCAGUAAGAAAUGUGAUGAAUUGUCAGCACUGAUACUUUUAUGUGCAAAACAUGUCAUCUGUCUGCUUGUUUAUCUUUCAGAGUGAGGAGGAUAUGAGUGUUAAACAAGCGCAGUCCCAUCAGCUUGCUCAGCUGCUUGCGCUACAGCUCCCCAGCAGGGCUAACAUUUCUUGAACUCUAUGGAAGUGUUGUCGGAUUUGUAUAUUAUUUUGUCAGCGUGUUUAGUUGCACCAGUGGCGAUCUUUGAUGCCCCGUGUAUGUAAUUUGCUGUCUGCUUGUGCUUUAUUAUCAUAGUGGCGAACUUUGAUGCCCAGUGGAUGUAAUAUGCCAUAAUUUCUUUAUUGUAUACUGUAGGUUUUUUCUUAUUCAUGAUACUGCAGUUAUUUACUGUAUAUAUAUCCUGUCUUCGCAGUAAACCGGCCAAACCGUAAAAUUAUGGUACAUAAUCGGGCCGUCAUGCAAUCACGAUGUAUGAUCCGCAUCAUGGGCCCCGUCAUCUUGGUCCGUUAGAAGGCCUAAAUGUAAACUGGCCCACUAGUAGAUUCGGGCCUUUAAUAGGCCGAGUAAACCGCCGGCCCUCUUUUCGCAAGAAAACUCAAUGGGCUUUUAGGAGGUUGAGAAGUAGGUUGGGCCUGAAACAUGCCAAACAGCUCACGGGCCGGCAGAAGCCCGAAGUGGACCCCGGCCCAUGAUUGUGCCAAUCAAAUCACGGGCUUUUAACAGGCCAAAAUUGUCUCGGUCCUUGUUUGGCCCAAUCAGAUUAUCGGCUGCGAGCAGGCCGGAUGCAAACCGGGCCGUAGUUAGGCCCAACUAUAUGACGGGCUUUUAACAGGCCGAAAUUAAUAUAGGUCCGAAAUGUUAAACCGGCCCUUAACAAGCCGAAACUAAUAUCAGGCCGAAUUACUAAAUGGGCCUUUAGCAAGUGGGCCCAAAAGCAUAGCGUCCAGUUGACGGGCUGAAUCUGAUAUGGGCCAUAAUUUAGCCCAAAGCCUCUUAAAGGGCCGGACCUGAUCUGGGCCGUAAUUUGGCCCAGAACUUGGUAGGCUUUUAAUGGGCCGGAUGUCAUAUGGGCCAUUGUUAGGCCCGGAACGUGGCAGGCCAUUAAUGGACCGGAUCAAAUAUGGGCCGGCAUUUGGCCCAAAACAUGGCAGCCAGUUAAUGGGCCGGCCUACUAGGGUCCUCAAAAUCUUGUGGGCCUACAGCUGGGCCGACCCAUUAAUGUCGGCGAAAUCUCGUGGGCCUUUAGCUGGGCCGGCCCAUUAUGGUCCACAAAAAUCUUGUGGGCCUUCACCUGGGCCGGCCCAUUAUGGCCCGCAAAAAUCUUGUGGGCCUUUACCUGGGCCGGCCCAUUAUGGCCCGCAAAAUCUUGUGGGCCUUUAGCUGGGCCAGCCCAUUAUGGUCCGCAAAAUCUCAUGGGCCUUUAGCUGGGCCGGCCCAUUAUGGUCCGCAAAAUCUUGCGGGCCUUUAGUUGGGCCGGCCCAUUUAAACUUUAUGGGCCACUUUUGGGCCGUUCCACGUGUCGACAUAUCAUAGGCGCAUCUCGCCCAUUGGAUGAGUGACACCUGUGCCAACCCGGAUCUGACACGUGUUUCCGUCAGCCAAUCAGAAUUUUACACGUGGAAAAUCCCCAUUGGUCCGGGCUGUUAACGGGUUAUCGGAUCCAAAACCGGACCCGAUAGCUUAAUGGUGUUCUGUUACGAUGGAUGCCACAUGUCGGUCACCCUUGACGAAAGCACUUCUGUGACGCGCGAUUUAUCAUCAUGGAAGUGGACACUUCCGUGAUGAUAAUUAUGGUAAUGUCAUGGAACACUUCUACGACAGCACAGGUAUGACUAUCUUGAUUCUGUCAUAAAAUUGUCAUGGAUGUACAUGCAUGACAGAAAACGUGACCUACUGUGACAAACACGUAUCAUCACAGAAGUGUAUUUUUUUGUAGUGAAACCCUUAAACCCAAAUCUUAUUUUCAUUGUGUCCACUAUACCUACCUAGGGGUUGAGCAAGAUCCCUCGAGUAAGUUGUCAUCUGUGAAAAAAGGCAAUAAAAAUUGCUUCUAAAAGUGUGAGAUCAUUUAGUGUAAGAGAAAAUUGAGCGUUGCAUGAACUUGUGAUGGUGAAGAAUAAAAGCGACAGACUGCAUAAUAAAGGUCGCUAUCACAAGGGGCAAUGCAGCGUGACGUUCUUUUGCACUAAGGGUUCGAGCAUACAAACAAAUAAGCGCAUGGCAACCUCUCCUUCACUCUGCGAAGGGCCUAUCUUUUACUUUUAUGCAAAGAGUCAAAGUUUUCUCUCUAUUCUUUUUUAUUUUCUCCCUUGGCAAGCAUCAUGUGGUGAGGAAAGAUCUAGACACAUAUGUCUAGUUGAAUAUAGAUAGCAUGAGUUAUUAUUGUUGACAUCACCCUUGAGGUGAAUACAUUGGGAGGCGAAACUACAAGCCCCUAUCUUUCUAUGUGUCCGAUUGAAACGUUUUGCUCAUGUGUACGCGGUGAGUGUUAGCAAUCACGGAAGACUAUAUGAUGGUUGAGUAUGUGAACUUGCCUAAAAGGCUCCGAUACAUGACCCUUCCUGAAAAGAUGAUGAAUUGUAGUUGCAAAGUUGUCUGAGAACAUAGUUGUUGGUUUCUAAUAGAGUUUUUUGCUUUACACUUCAACAGUGUGAUGAAUCGUCACUUGUUCAUGAGAAGUCUAUGAUAAAAGUUCUAUGAUAAGAGUCUUAAGUUUAAGCUUGUUGCUGUUAUAAUAAUCAACAUGAUGCUUCUAUGUUCGUAUUUUGUUUUUAUUGACACCUCUCUCUCUAAGCAUGUGGACAUGUUUUUCGAUUUCGGUUUUCGCUUGAGGACAAGCGAGGUCUAAGCUUGGGGGAGUUGAUACGUCCAUUUUGCAUCAUGUUUUCUUAUUGUUAUUUAUGAUGUUUUUAUCUAUAAUAAUGUUUUUUGGAGUAAUUCUAAUGCCUUUUUCUCUCAUAAUAUGCAAGGUAUACACAAAGAGGGAGAAUUUCGGUAGCUGGAAAUCUAGACGUGAAAAAGCUACGCCAGGCUACCUAUUCUGCACAACUCCAAAUAGGCUGAAACUUCACGAAGAAUUUUUAUGGAAUAUAUGAAGAAUAUUGGAGCAAAUAAGUACCAGAGGGGCCCAACAGGUGCGCACAACCCACCUGGGCACGCCAUGGAGCCCAGGCGCGCCCUGGUGGGUUGUGCUCACCUAGGCCUACCUCCGGUGCCCAUCUUCUGGUAUAUAAGUCAUUUUGACCUAAAAAAAUAAGAGGAUGACUUUCGGGAUGAAGCGCCUCUGUCUCUAGGCGGAACCUGGGCAGGAGCGCUUUUGCCCUCCGGCAGAGCGAUUCUACCGGGGGAACUUCCCUCCCGGAGGGGGAAAUCAUCGUCCUCAUCAUCAGCAACAACUCUCCCAUCUUGGGGAGGGCAAUCUCCAUCAACAUCUUCAACAACACCAUCUCAUCUCAAACCCUAGUUCAUCUCUUGUGUUCAAUCUUGUUACCGGAACUAUAGAUUGGUGCUUGUGGGUGACGAGUAGUGUUGAUUACAUCUUGUAGUUGAUUACUAUAUGGUUUACUUGGUGGAAGGUUAUAUGUUCAGAUCCAAUAUGCUAUUUAAUACCCCUCUGAUCUUGAGCAUGAUUAUCAUUUGUGAGUAGUUACUUUUGUUUUUGAGGUCACGGGAGAAAUCCUGUUGCAAGUAAUCAUGUGAAAUUGAUACGUGUUCGAUAUUUUGAUAGUAUGUAUGUUGUGAUUCCCUUAGUGGUGUCAUGUGAAUGUCGACUACAUGACACUUCACCAUAUUUGGGCCCAAGGGAAUGCAUUGUGGAGUAGCAAUUAGAUGAUGGGGUGCGAGAGUGACAGAAGUUUAAACCCCAGUUUAUGCGCUAUUCCGUAAGGGACCGAUUCGAUCCAAAAGUUUAAUGCUAUGGUUAGAAUUUAUUCUUAAUACUUUUGUAAAGGCAUAUCUCUCUAGAUGUAGUUUUGGUGAUUGAUGACAACAUGUUUGCGGACUAAUCGUGUGCUUUGAGCAUUUCCGAGAUUCAUCCUUUGGCACGAGACGAUUUCUUUCCCCUCGGGAGUGUCAUUCAAGACGGUGCAACUCUUUCGCUUCUUUUUGGUGGACUAGUUUCGUAGGAGUCACCGUACUAUCAAGAGGGGGUCCAUUUUGGUAAGGCUAGGGUGGAAUCAAUACGUACACAUCCUCUUUACACCCUCUGAGCCUUUCCACUUCAUUGGAGAUCUCUUUCCCUUUCUUUGGGCUAUGUCUGGUCCCAGCGGUAGUACCGCGGUACCCAGCGGUAGUAACGCUUAGGGGUCACAGGCAGCAGUACCGCUCCGCAGCGGUAGUACCGCCGGUGGGUCCUCAGCAGUAGUACCGCUGCAGUACCAGGCCCCUACCGCGUCGACUCGAGGGGUCUUUUCUCGUGUCGGAUUGUGCGGUACUUUGCAGCGGCAGUAGAGUGACAGUGUCGCUCAUGAGCGGUAGUACCGCCCUACCACCACGGCAGUACCGCUCGGGUCCGUCUCUCUCCUGCCCUCCCUUCUUCACGGUAGUACCGCUCGGGGGAGCAGUAGUACCGUUGUUCUCAGUGGUAGUACCGCUGCCUCCUGCGGUAGUACCGCCCUCUGCGGGGCUGUUUUGGGGGGUAACGGUUGGAUUGAUUCCCUCACUAUAUAAGGAGGUCAUCUUCCCCAAAGUUGACUUACCUCUUCCCCCAUAAGCUCCAUUGUUGCUCCAAGCUCCAUUUCCGCCCGAUCUCUCUCCCUAGCCAAUCAAACUUGUUGAUUUGCUCGGGAUUGGUUGAGAAGGCCCCGAUCUACACUUCCACCAAGAUAAAUUUGAUUCCCCCCACUUAUCCCUAGCGGAUCUUGUUACUCUUGGGUGUUUGAGCACCCUAGAUGGUUGAGGUCACCGCGGAGCCAUAGUCCAUUGUGGUGAAGCUUUGUGGUGUCGUUGGGAGCCUCCAAUUAAGUUGUGGAGAUUGCCCCAACCUUGUUUGUAAAGGUCCGGUCGCCGCCUUCAAGGGCACCAAUAGUGGAAUCACGGCAUCUCGCAUUGUGUGAGGGCGUGAGGAGAAUACGGUGGCCCUAGUGGCUUCUUGGGGAGCAUUGUGCCUCCACACCGCUCCAACGGAGACGUACUUCCCCUCAAAAGGAAGGAACUUCGGUAACACAUCCUCGUCUUCACCGGCUCCACUCUUGGUUAUCUCGUCCCUUUACUUUCGCAAGCUUACUUGUGUUAAAUCCCUUGCUUGCUUGUGUGCUUGUUGUCAUUGCAUCAUAUAGGUUGCUCACUUAGUUACAUAUCUAGACAACCUACUUUGAUGCAAAGUUUAAAUUGGUAAAGAAAAGUUAAAAAUUGUUACUUGCCUAUUCACCCCCCUCUAGUCAACUAUAUCGAUCCUUUCAAUUGGUAUCAGAGCCUCGUCUCUAUUAAGGACUUUACCGUCCGAAGAGUAUGGUUGACGUCGUAGACGGUGUGGAGGAGCACUCCGGUGUGAAUCCGGUCUCGUCUACGGGAGAUGGGGGAACCGCGGUCUCUCGUGAGGAAUUCAAUGUGGCGUUGGAUACAUUGAAAACCUCCAUGACUACCGAGAUCGAAAGCAUGUUUAAUAAAUUCUUAGAAGGGCUUAAACUUUCCACCGCACCUUUGAAAGUGGGUGAUCCCGCCAACAAGGUGGCGGAUGCUACCUCCGACAAGGGGGAAGCUACUAGCGAGAAAGCUCCUUCUUCUAGUGGUAAAAAUGGCACCGGCAUCUUUGCCCAUGUGGAACCUCCACUUGUCUAUGGUGGACCGCUCCCUUCCACUCAUUUGAAUCAUGCCGGCCCGGCCCCUAAGAUUGAGAAAAAUUUAGAUUUUGAUUCUUGGGUCUAUCGUUUUAAGCGUCAUUUAAAUCAUGUGAACACUAACCUUUGGAGAAUCAUUGAAGAAGGUUUCUAUCCGCAUGACCGAAGUAACUUCACUCCUAGAGAAGUCGUGGAUCAUCAAUUCAAUGAGAAUGCUCUCUUCAUCAUCCAAGAAGCAAUCCCACCCGAAGAUCUUCCUCAUCUCCGGCCCUACACCGUGGCCAAAGAUGCUUGGCUCCAAGUUGUUUCCCUCUAUCGGGGAAGCGCAAGCAUUCAACGCUCCAACUAUGAAGUGGUGCAAGAUGAAGCCGAUGAGUUUGCAAUGAAAGAAGAUGAAGAACCUCGUGAGCUUUUUCGAAGAGUAACCAAACUCGCGGUCUCUCUCCGAGAUCAUGGAAGUAAGGACACGGAUGACAAUUGGAUCAAGCUCAAAUUCCUCAAGGCAAUGAUGCCCUAGCACAAAGCCAUGUCCUUCGUCAUUCGUCAAAGGCCGGACUUCCACACCUUGUCCUCAAGUGAAGUGUUGGAUGAGUUCGUUGCUAUGAGCAUCUUGGACAAGACUGCCGACAAUGUGGUUCUUCGCUCUCAAAGAGUAAAGAAGCCCAACCUUGCUCUAAAGGCCAAGGUUAGUAUGGAGGAAGAGGAUGAACAGGAAGAAGAGGAGAGCAACCUCGAAGAUACGAAGUAUGCCCAUCAUGAACACAUGGCUCUUGCUUCGAGGCAAUUUUGGAGCAAGAAGAACACAAGGCCAAACUUCAACAAGAACUAUUCAAGUGGCGCAAAGGGCAAGCAAUGAGUGAGGACUUGCUUCAAUUGUGGCAAUGUGAGCCACUUUGUUGCGGAGUGCCCUUACGAGAAGAGGGAAGACAAUGGUGGCAAGCUCAUCCGAAAGGACAAGGCCAAGUCGUUCCCCAACAAGAGCAACUUCACCAAGAAGACUCCUCCCAAGUCAUUGGUGGUACAAGAAGAGUACAAUGAGGAUGAUGACAAUGAUGAAGAUGGUGAGUCAGUUGCCAUGGCCUCCGUUGCCAUUGCGAUGACUCCACGGAUGUCUCUCUUCGACUCACCCAAUGAGAACAUCACCGCCAAGUGCCUCAUGGCUAAAGCCACCAACAAGGUAACCCCCAACAUCAAAACUACCAUCAUUAAUCAUCCUUCUUCGACGGAUAGCAUUGAUGAACAUGAGGGGACAAAUGUGGAGGAAAAUGAGUUUGAGACCUUUAUGGGUAAACUCAAGGGUAAAUCCAAGAAGCACUUCGUUGCUCUCUUGGAACAACUUGGUGAAGCCAAUGACAUGAUCGAGGCUCACGAAGAUACCAUCUCUAAGAUGGAGGGGCAUAGUCGUGACUAUGCCGAUGAGAUUUCGGAUCUUUCCAAUGCUCUUGACGAAGAGCGUGGUCUUCGUUUGGCUCUUGAGGAGUCAUACGACGAUGAUCAUGCUAAGUUAAAGAAAGAUCUUGAUCAUGCUCUUGUUGUGUCUCGUGUGCUAAACUCCGAGAAGGCAAAGCUUGGGGUUGAUCUUGCUAGACUCAAAGAGGAGUUUGACAUUCUCGACAAGGCUCACAAAGUCUUGAAGGGUGUUCAUGCUAGCCUCAAGGAGUCUCAUGAUCAACUCCAAGUGAAGCUAACUAAGGAGAAAGCCACCUUUCCUCAUAUGGUGUUAAUUGAUAAUGCAAAUGCUACUAACCCUUGUUGUGAGCAUGUGCAUCUUGUUGAGGAGAAUGCUAAGUUGAAGGAGCAACUUGAGAAAGGCCUUGUGUCAUGCAUACAAGGUGAUAAGAACCUCAACGACCUUUUGAGCAAUCAAAAGGAAGUUGUGGCCAAGGAGGGGAUUGGGUUCGCACCCAAGCCCAAGAACAAGAAGAAGAAUGACAAGACCAAACGACCUCCUCCUCUCAAGCAAACUUUUGUGAAGGAGGGAGAGGGUGCUUCCAAGGAGAAGAAGAACAAUGCGAAGGGUGGCGGUGUCAAGAAGGGCAAUGCCACCCCUUCCAACAAAGCCGGCGACUUUAAUCCUUCUUAUGUGCUAUGCCGUGCUAGUGAUGGGCAUGUUUAUGCCAAAUUUGUUGGUUCUCCUCAUGAGUAUAUUGAAUGGUCUAUUUGGGUUCCUAAGACCCUUGUUACUAACAUCAAAGGACCCAUUACAAAAUGGGUACCUAAAACCAAGCAUUGAUCUCUUGUAGGUGUUUGCUUCCGGUGGGGGAUCAUGGUUGCUCGAUAGUAGAGCUACAAAUCAUAUGACCGGAAGCAAGGACUUGGUGGUGGACGUGCACAAGAUUCCAUCUAUGCCCACCAAUGUCGAGUGGGGUGAUGCCUCGUCUUCUAAGGUAUUGGGACUCGGCAAAGUUGUCAUUUCUCAUGAUCUCACGAUCGAGAAAGUCAUGCUUGUUGAGUCCCUUGCAUACAAUUUACUUUCCGUUCGUCAACUUGCAAUCAUGGGUUUUGCCACCUUCUUUGAUAUUGAUACCGUGGCCCUCUUGUGGAGCAAGACUCUUAAAGUAGCCUUUGUUGGGCAUGUCGAGAACGGUCUCUAUGUGAUUAACUUUUCGGAGCGACCCACUAAGACCGCGACAUGCCUAAUGACUAAAGUUGACGUGGGAUGGCUUUGGCAUUGCCGUUUAGCCCAUGUCAAUAUGAGAUCUUUGCAAAGUCUUCUCAAGGGGGAACAUGUCCGUGGACUAACGAACGUUAGUUUUGCUAAAGAUCGUGCUUGCAGUGCUUGUAUCGAAUGAAAGCUUCAUGACAAGGCUCACCCUCCCACGACUCUCAUUUACUCGAAGAGGCCUUUGGAGCUCCUUCAUUUGGAUCUCUUUGGGCCUCCAUCCUUUGAUAGUCUUGGGGGUAGAAAGUACUGCUUGGUGAUUGUGGAUGACUAUUCAAGAUACACUUGGGUGUAUUUCUUCAAGAGGAAGAGUGAGACCCAACAAACCAUCAUUGACUUUGCAAAUGAAGCCCAACGUCAACACAAUGCAAAGAUCUUGACAAUAAGAAGUGACAAAGGCACCGAGUUCAAGAACUACACCUUGGAUGAGUUUCUUAGUGAUGAGGGGAUCAAGCAUCAAUAUUCCGCACCUUACACCCCUCAACAAAACGGUGUUGCGGAGACGAAGAACCGGACGUUGAUGGAUGCCGCGAGGACCAUGAUGGCGGAGUUCAAGUCUCCAUACAACUUUUGGGCCGAAGCCAUCAACACCGCGUGUCAUGCAUCCAAUCGGCUCUACCUCCGCAAGGGCUUGAACAAGACUCCAUAUGAGUGUGACACCCAAAAAUUUUAUUUUGGUUUUAUCAAAAUCUUUAUUUUGAUUUGAAGGAGGGUAUUUAAAAUUUUCUUCUAAAGAACUCUCCCUCUCAAAAAAUUUCUUUUAUGACAAGUAUUUUGUUUGGAUUCACCCAAGACUUGAUCUUUGGCCUUGGAGGUUUUUUUUCCAUCUUAUGUUGACUCAUCACAAAAUGUUUUUCAUUUGGGAGAGUUUUUGAAAAUCUUUUUAAAUAGCCCUAUGGCUUUUGGAGUGAUCUUUUCCCUUUCAAAAUCUCCUCUUGCCAUGACCUAAAAGGGAAAUCCCCUCCCAAAAGCCAUUUCCCAUCUUUGUGUCAAGAUAUACUUCAAAUCCAGCAAGUUGAACUUCCCCAUGACUUUGUUUCCAUUUAUUUCUAAUCAAAAUCUUUUUCUGCCCUCUACUUUGGCUCUUGGAGAUUUACAAAGGAACUACCAUUUCUCCUUUGAGUUUUGCCUCCAAACCAAUUUCCCUGGCUAGUCCUUAGAGCCCUCAACCAAGAUCCAUGAAGAUCCACUGGUCUCCAGUUCAAAAAUUUCAAAUUGUGCUUGCUGCAAGUUUGGACCAUAUUUGUCAAAUUUGAUGAAAUUCAUUUGUUUUCUCCUCCUAAAAAUCUGAGUAAAUUCAGGCAGCCUCUGGAUGCAUCGAGAGGUCACCUCACCAAGUCCCAGCUCCAGAAAAAAAAUUCUUCAUGCCAAAUCAUUUCGUCGAACACCUGAAGGACACUGUUACUGUCAAGUUCAGAAAGUUUAGAGAUACAGUUUCAGUGAGCCGCUGUCAUUUUCUUCAGAAACCUAUCUUGAUCUCGCCAGUAGCCGCGGUGGCGCCUUGCGCCCUGUGUUUCCUUCUUAUCCCUGCGCCGCACGAUCGCCUGGAAGCUUGCGGGCGUCGGCGACGAGCUGGUGGAGUUGCGCCUCCCCGUGAGCAACGGCAGCAGCGCCCUUUGCGGCUGAUAGAGAGGCGCAGCGUUGGACGGCGCCGUCCAGCGCCGCCCAAGCCACCAGAGGCCACCGCGUGGCCGUCCACUCACCCGUGCACGCUGCAGGUCCGUCAUCGUGAACUGUUAGGCGCGGAGCGCGCUCCCUGCCGCCGCCGUGCCCAUACGGCCGUUCCGUCGAGGGCCAGUGCAUUACGCAAGCCCGACCGAGGUUUGAGCAGAGAAAUGGCGCCAGUGAUCCUCCACAAUGAUGCCUAGCCACCUAAACCCCCUGCCCAACCUCUGCCUCACCGUAAUUUCUCGCCGGCGUUAUCCCGUUCACGGCCACCCCCUCGGAUCGCCUAUAAAAGGAGGUCCCGAGCUCGAACUCGAACCCGCACCACCUCUACACACCACCAGUACCACGCCAAGCCACUGGAAGAGCCCCGAGGGAGUCUUCUUCCCCAAAUCCGGCUGCCUCGACCCGCUUCAGGAUCCAGCGCGAUUCACUCCCGUGCGUGCACCCCUACCCCUCAGCUCUUGCCAGUAGUCUCCUAGUGCAUCCACCCUUCUGACCCGCGCAUCAAUUUGAAGCUUGCAGCACCCACCGGAGAGCUCCACCAUCGCCCGAACCACCGUCCGCCGGAGAUAGUGUCGCCGUCGACGUGGUGCUCUCCGACGGUCAAGUCCACCACCCACCGACGCGGAAGAACACCCUGAACCCGUAGGUACCCUCCAAUCACUCUGCCUCGCCGUGGUUCAACGCCAGCGACCACCGCAGCCUUCGGGCGCCGGCGAGCUCCGUUGGAAGUUUUGAACCUGACGGGUGGGACCCCCCGUCAGCCUCUCUUCUUUUCCCCUUCGAACCGUUUUCUGAAAGCGCCUUCGGGCAAAACGUGUUUUCUCUCUGGGCUGGCGUAUUUCAUACCGAACCGUUUUUUGUUUUCUCAAACAAGUCCCUGGAUCUUUUCUGUUUCGUCACAGAUCAGUCCUUGGACUAAAACCCUUAUAUCUUUUAAAUAAAAGAUGCUUUUGGAUUGAUUCUUUUUUUGUCAGUCUUAUAUUUUUGUCUAGUUGUUUAUAGUAUUUAUUUGAAAAAAAUUUGGAAAUUUUUUUAUGAACGCAACGGUUUUCACGUUAGUAUACGGUUUCGUUAUACCGUAGGUUCCGGAGGAGGUGACGGAGCCGCGAACUUCGCCGAGCUAGACUCCGACUUCUCUGAACCAGGCAAGCAUGUUUGAACCUUUGAUAUGAUGAGUGUUUUGCAUGUUUGCUUGAAUGGUUUGUGCAUGGCAUAUGAGCACCGGCGAGUAUUACAUUGCAGGCAAGGCAACUAACCGUGUGCUUCGAAGUCACUGUGAUCUUUGAUGAGAGAUGACCUGAUCAUGUGGUGACAUGAAAGGUAGUAAGAUGGUAUUGUUGUAGCAUGCCAGUCUUACGUCAUCCGAUAAACUCCGACGUUAACGUGGACUGAGCCACGUUACCGUUCUUCCCCUUUCGUGCUGCCACAUGUUUUCUGCAAAGAAUACGGUUUAGUAAGUUGCUAACCUCUUUCCUUGUACACACCAAAUAGAGGGGCCGGGAUGAGGGUUCCAUGGCCCUGGAUUAAAGCCAGUCAUCGGUCAGGGGGCAUGGGUGUUUCCGGUUGGGACCGAGAGGGGGGCACCCCUUAGAGCGCGCGGUAUAAAUUUGAUCCCAUGCUACGCGAGGUUGUAACCUCCCCGUCUCAAAGUUUUUCUUGAACGUUGCCUAGGGUGAUUCUUGGCAUCGGAAUGUUGAAUGGGUGUGUACUGGUUAGAUGUGUUUCUCCUAAAACACCGUAAACGGAACUAGUCCCCUGUGACUACUGAAAUCCGUUGGCUGUGGUUAAAUAGUACAAGCUCUGCAGAGUCAAAUCCUUCCGAGUCAUCGUGUCCAUGGUCAAAGACCAUGGCCAGCAUAUCUCUAUUCAUGUCAGUCCCCGUGUCAGUUUUCCGUGGGAAAUCCCCGGUGAACAAGCUUGAGUGGUAAACCCGGUUGAACGUUAUUCCUGUGGAUGGACUAAACUUUAUUUAUCUCGUACCUGAAUAUUCCCUUGAAAUGAUUUAAAUUUCAUGAGCUACUGAAAUAUUGAGUUAUGAAAUAUAAGCCCUUUAUGUGAUGUCGCUCAGACGUCCGACUGUGGCACGUUUGUUAUUUACUUUUGAUAUAAGCCCUUUAUGUGAUGUCGCUCAGACGUCCGACUGUGGCACGUUCGUUAUUUACUUUUGAUAUAAGCCCUUUAUGUGAUGUCGCUCAGACGUCCGACUGUGGCACUCUUGUCAUUUACUUUUGAUAUAAGCCCUUUAUGUGAUGUCGCUCAGACGUCCGACUGUGGCACGCUCGUUAUUUACUUUUGAUAUAAGCCCUUUACGUGAUGUCGCUCAGACGUCCGACUGUGGCACGCACUGUCAUUUAUAUUCCAUUAUAAGCCCUUUAUGUGGUGUCGCCUUGACGCCCGACUGCGGCAUUGUUAUUUUAUUUGUAUCCUUUCGAGGAGUCAUUCAAACACUUGAUUGGCCUUCAGUAUUACAUUGGGAUUUUGGGAGGACUACCGCCCGACUUCCUUUUUAUUUCCCAUGCAUAGCUAUUUUGUUAUCUGAGUGCGCAUUAUUAAUCUGCUCAUAUGCAUCAUGUUUGCAUUUGUUAUAUCUUAUGUCCAAACUGUCUUGCGAGUACUUUCAUAGUACUCACCUGGCUUGUUGAUUUGGCCAGAUGUUGACGAAGGCGAUCUCAUGGAUGAAGAGUUUGAUAGUGAGUCCGACGCCUAGAGGAGUCCCAGUCAGUCCCGUGCGAUCCUGGAUUUUGGUCACUUGUAUUAUAUACGCUUCCGCCACCCACAAUAAGAAUCCUCGAGCCUCACUCCGACGCUCGAUAAGCUGUAAGAUUUAGGAGUCAUGUCACCCACUUCUUUGUGACAUAUGCACCACCGCUUUUAUUGUGAGUCAGUAGUUAUGCCACCAUAUCCGCCUUUAUGUGUAAUAUCGGCGUGCUUGUAAUAAAUUGUUGAGCAGUCUCCGCUCAACCUUGUAUUAUGUUUAGUACUCCUGGGUUUCCUUCUGUGAUCAAGAAAUUGUCUACCGGUGAGAAGGAUUCUUCUCUACUGGUCCGUAAAAGGGAUCUGUUUCUCAAUAAAUAUUUUUAUUGGAAAACCGGUCGUGACAAGCUUGGUAUCAGAGCCAGGCUGACUGUAGGAAGCCACUAGGUGCGAUCGCUAAUCGGUUAUUAGCGUUUCUAGUGCUUUUUCAGCAUUUUGCAAAUGUAGCUAUUUUCUGUUGGUCAUCAUAAAUUUAUGAUUUGACUACUCAGAAUUUUUGCCUACUUUUGUAGAUGGCUGACAGCGACUGCGAGACUCGGGUGUUCACUAAUGUGCCCGAGGGGUUUGUCAAACUCCUCGUCUCCAUCACCAAGCUCACGAUCGGGCCAGCGACUCGUCCGGAGUUCACGCUUUACCAGCACAAGCUCAGCGACAACGUGUCUAUGCACCAGGCCAUGGUGCAAUUCAAGGGAGGACGUUCUGCGUCUCGCCACUCCCGUUUUGUGGGAAGGGCCAUGCCUACGGAGAGGCAUGCCAUGCAGAUGGCCGCCCGUGAGGCAAUAGCUCGCCUUCGGGAUAUUCUUCCUACGAUGAAGACUCGUCGCUACCGCUACCUCCCAUGCCAUGUGCCAUAUACUUGUCACUAUGCAUUCGCCUGCCAUAGGGGAGAGCGAGAUGAAGCUAUCGAGAUGCUUGUUGAGUAUCUCAAAGCUCUGGAGGCAGCUUUUGACAACCUCGUGGACGAUCUUGUGGCUGCCCGUAUGGACUUAGUUCGGGGCUGUUCUGCCAACAGGAGGGAGCUUCUCCACAUGGCACCGCCACUGACGUUCGUCUCGUCCUCAGCAUCCUACUCACCUGCCAUUUUGGCCACCGCUCGCCGUCUGCCUACGACUGAGGAGUUCGACCAGGUCAUUGCUCCUACUCCAGUCAGAGCUACACCGCCUGCCGCACCCACACCACCGCCAGUCGCACCCGCGCCUUCUCCUCAGCGCAGUGCUACGCGCCUGGAGCCUAUUAGGGAGGAGGUGGAGGUUGAGUCUCCUGCACCGCUGGGUCUUACCCUCGGCAGGGGGAAGGACAUCUUCACCAUCUCCGACUGAGUGCGCCUACUAGCCGCGCGAUGUGUCUGCAUGUAUGAUAUGUUUUAUAUGUACAUAGGUUUGUAGUAGUUGUGUGCGCUUCAUGUAGGAUCCCGGAGGAGUGUGCUAGCCUAAAUAACAUGUCAGGAAUGUGUACGCACAUCCUGAGUGCUGUAUCGUAUAAUUACGCAUCGCGUGUAAGAUUUGUACUGAGCAGUCCUUCUUCGUGCGCAAUCAAAUUUUUUCUUGAAAAAUCUUGAGGUCUUUUAAAUUUUUGCCUUUGCAAAAUUUUCCUUGUGCCACACAGUUCUUCUCAUGAGUUUUGCAAAAUAUACCCCAGAGUGGAAAAUGUCUCGUCUGUGGACUCGUUCCAUGCCAAAUCCACCAGCAGAAAUUUAUGGAACACAAACAAGCAACAACUUCACACAGGGGCAGUCUAGUCAACAGGACAGCGAGGCAGCCUUAUCUCAAGUAUGUCGUCUUUUCGAACAAAGCCAACAGCAACACCAGGAAAUGAUGAAUCACGUCAUCAAUAUGGGAAAUCACCGUGAGCCAUACCAAUCGCAUUCCAAGUUGUCUGAACUACAGAAGACACGCCCUCCAACAUUCGCUCACACUGAUAGACCGCUUGAAGCCGAUGAUUGGCUUCGAGACAUCGAAAGAAAGUUGAUUAUUGCUCAAUGUUCAGAUCAUGAGAAGGUGCUUUAUGCACCUCACUACCUCACUGGAGCAGCUGCUGCAUGGUGGGAAAAUUUCCUACACAUGCACCCCGGUGAACAUAAUAUCACCUGGGAAGAGUUUAAGGAAGGUUUUCAUGGGGCGCACAUCCCCAGGAGCAUUAUAAAGAUCAAGAAGAGGGAGUUUGAUGACCUCAAGCAGAGAGGCAUGACAGUGACGGAAUACAACAAUCAGUUUACCCAGCUAUCUCGUUAUGCCUACGAUGAGCAUAUGACUGAGAACAAAAGGAUGGAAAAAAAUUUGGACGGCCUGGCGCCAGCACUAAAAUGCCAACUAGUCGUACACACUUUCCCAGAUUUCAAAACUCUGGUUGACAAGGCCAUUACGUUGGAGAAUGAGCGCCGCAGUCUGGAGGAUAUUCGUAAGCGAAAAAGGGACAAGACGACUCUUGCUCGCAACAACCGGAGCAAGACUGAUGUUCAGAGGAAUGAAGCGAGAAAAUCCACGACUACUGCUCUAAGGACAACCAGACAGUUUCAUUCAAGGGACAAGGACUUUACAUACCGCCCAGGGGUCACUUGCUAUGCUUGUGGAGAGGAAGGUCACUAUGCCAAGCAGUGCCCAAAGCCGAGGAACUCGGCCCCCAAGCCGAAUAAUGGUGGGAAUAAUCCAGCCCCCAAGCGUAACAAUUUCAAUCCCAGCAACAAUCACAAGAAAGGUCACCUGAACCAUGUGACCAAGGAAGAAGCACAGAAUGCCCCAGAUAUCGUGCUCGGUACGUUCCCUGUCAACACAAUACGUGCCACGGUUUUGUUUGAUUCUAGAGCUUCUCACUCGUUCAUUUCGAAGAGUUUUGUUUCACAACAUGGUUUUCCGAUACUUUCUUUGGAAAAGUCUAUGAUCAUCAGGUCCCCCGGGAAUAAGCAGAUCACUCAGAGUUACUGCCAAGGAGUGAUUAUUGAGUUUGAAGGACUAAAGUUUCAGGCAAAUCUCAUCGUGUUGGAAAAUAAAGGACUGGAUGUUAUCCUAGGAAUGGACUGGUUAACCACCAACAAGGGAUUUAUCGACUGUUUCAAUCGGACUGUGAUUCUCACUCAUCAUCACGGUAAGACAAUAAAAGUUACAGCUCAAGAGAGACCACGAUCACGGCAACCAAAGUUGAACAAAGUGGACAUUUCAGAAUUGAGAAGGGUUCCAGUGGUGUGCAAGUUUCCCGACGUAUUUCCUGAAGAACUACCAGGCAUGCCACCAGACCGAGAGAUAGAGUUCAGCAUUGAACUAGCACCUGGCACCACCCCCAUCUAUAAGAAACCUUAUAGAAUGGCACCCUCCGAGUUGGUAGAACUGAAGAAGCAAAUAAAGGAAUUACUGGACAAAGGAUUUAUUCGAGCCAUCUCCUCACCAUGGGGUUCACCAGUAUUAUUCGCCAAGAAAAAGGAUGGGACACUGAGAUUGUGUAUAGACUAUCGAGCUCUCAAUAUGGUCACCAUCAAAAACAAAUAUCCGAUGCCACGGAUAAAUGAUUUGUUUGACCAGCUCGCACAAGCCAAGGUGUUCUCAAAAAUUGAUUUAAGAUCGGGAUAUCACCAAUUAAAAGUACGGACAGAAGAUAUCCCUAAGACAGCAUUCACCUCCAGAUACGGAUUAUAUGAGUUCACAGUAAUGCCGUUUGGACUGACGAACGCCCCCGCAUAUUUCGUCCACCUCAUGAACAAAGUGUUUAUGAAAUAUAUGGACAAAUUUGUUGUGGUGUUCAUUGACGAUAUUCUGGUAUACUCAAGGACACCAGAAGAACAUGCUGAACAUCUCAGAAUUGUAUUGGGGGAAUUAAGGAAACAUCAAUUGUACGCCAAAUUUAGCAAAUGUGAAUUUUGGCUAAGACAAGUUGGUUUUCUAGGCCAUAUACUGACCCAAGAAGGCGUGGUCGUAGAUCCGGAAAAAGUCAAAGCCAUACUUGACUGGAAACCACCAGCCAACAUAAUAGAUGUACGGAGUUUCCUAGGAAUGGCUGGAUAUUACCGAAGGUUUAUUGAAGGAUUCUCCACUGUGGCAAAACCAAUGACACAAUUACUCAAUAAAGACAAGAAAUUUGUAUGGACGGAAGCGUGCGAGAAAAGCUUCCAAGAACUCAAAAAGAAACUAACAACAGCACCGGUUUUGGUUGUGCCGGACAUACACAAGAGUUUUGAAGUGUAUUGUGACGCGACCCGGAAGGGCCUCGGGUGCGUAUUGAUGCAGGACGGCAAAGUUGUCACGUAUGCUUCCAGGCAACUACGGAAGCAUGAGGAAAAUUAUCCUACUCAUGACUUGGAGCUAGCAGAAGUCAUCCAUGCACUCAAAGAGUGGAGGCACUUUCUACUGGGAAAUCGUUGUGAAAUAUAUACGGACCAUAAGAGCCUUAAAUAUAUUUUUACACAGCCAGAGCUCAAUUUACGACAACGACGCUGGUUGGAAUUGGUCAAGGACUAUGAUGUCGGCAUUCACUACCAUCCAGGGAAAGCAAAUGCAGUGGCAGAUGCUCUUAGUCGGAACCCCAGCUCGGGCAACGACAGUCCACCGAACUUGAGGCCUGAGUUUCAGCAGGAGUUCGCUAAACUCAACAUGAUGAUAGUCUCUGAGGGCAACGUAUCAAAUCUAGAGAUACAGCCCACCCUAAUGGAACAAAUUAAGGAGGCUCAGCGUGGACAUCCCAGCAUCGAAGGUAUAAAGAGAAAAAUGAGCCUUGGCAAGGCUUCAGAGUUCGUCACAGACAAUGAGGGAAUAUUAUGGUACGGGGACAGACUUUGCGUACCAAACGUUGAGGACCUCAAACAACAAAUCUUAACCGAAAGCCACACCGCCCCAUAUUCAAUCCACCCUGGAGGAACCAAAAUGUACAAAGACCUUCAGGAAAGAUUUUGGUGGCCCGGUAUGAAAAGGGAUAUAGCCACAUUCAUUGCUUGUUGUGAUUCGUGUCAGCGCAUUAAAGCUGAGCACCAAAAACCAGCAGGGCUGCUACAGCCAAACAGGAUACCUGAGUGGAAAUGGGAUGAAAUUGGAAUGGAUUUUAUCGUCGGACUACCUCGAUCACAACGCGGAAAUGAUGCCAUAUGGGUCAUCACAGAUAGGCUAACCAAGGUAGCACAUUUCAUUCCCGUGAAGACGACCUACUCCACUCAAAGGCUUGCUAAGCUUUAUCUCUCCCGUAUAGUUUGUCUGCAUGGAGUCCCAAAGACUAUAAUAUCCGACCGAGGCACUCAAUUUGUCUCUAAAUUUUGGGAUCACUUACAACAAGCUCUGGGCACGCAACUAGCUUUCAGUACAGCGUACCACCCCCAGACUGAUGGACAAACUGAACGCGUGAACCAAAUCCUAGAGGACAUGCUGAGAGCCUGUGUUCUCACCUAUGGAUCCAGUUGGGAAGAAAGUUUGCCGUAUGCCGAGUUCACAUACAACAACAGUUACCAAGCCAGCCUACAAAUGGCACCUUUUGAAGCAUUGUACGGACGGAGGUGUCGUACCCCAUUAAACUGGUCAGAAACAGGUGACAGUCGUAUCUUCGGCCCAGACAUGCUCAAGGAAGCUAAGGAGAAAGUUAAACAGAUCAGGGACAGACUCAAGACAUCUCAAAGCCGACAAAAGAGCUACUACGAUCGAAAACAUCGUGAGGUCAGCUUUGAACCCGGUGAUUACGUAUACCUACGAGUGUCUCCUAUGAGGGGCCUGCAACGGUUCAAAAUCAAAGGGAAGCUAGCCCCAAGAUUUAUUGGACCCUUCUGUGUAAUUGCACGAAAAGGCACAGUAGCCUACCAGCUGGACCUACCCAAAGAGCUGUCAGACGUCCACGACAUGUUCCACGUCUCACAGUUGAGGAAAUGUGUAAGCAACCCGGAAAAGCAUGUAUCUCAUGAGAGCAUUGACAUGCAACCAGACCUGGCCUACAGAGAGCGGCCAGUAAAAAUAUUGGAAGAGUCUGAAAGGAGAACCCGUCAGAAGACAACUAAAUUUUAUUUUGGUUUUAUCAAAAUCUUUAUUUUGAUUUGAAGGAGGGUAUUUAAAUUUUUCUUCUAAAGAACUCUCCCUCUCAAAAAAAUUCUUUUAUGACAAGUAUUUUGUUUGGAUUCACCCAAGACUUGAUCUUUGGCCUUGGAGGUUUUUUUUCCAUAUUAUGUUGACUCAUCACAAAAUGUUUUUCAUUUGGGAGAGUUUUUGAAAAUCUUUUUAAAUAGCCCUAUGGCUUUUGGAGUGAUCUUUUCCCUUUCAAAAUCUCCUCUUGCCAUGACCUAAAAGGGAAAUCCCCUGCCAAAAGCCAUCUCCCAUAUUUGUGUCAAGAUAUACUUCAAAUCCAGCAAGUUGAGCUUCCCCAUGACUUUGUUUCCAUUUAUUUCUAAUCAAAAUCUUUUUCUGCCCUCUACUUUGGCUCUUGGAGAUUUACAAAGGAACUACCAUUUCUCCUUUGAGUUUUGCCUCCAAACCAAUUUCCCUGGCUAGUCCUUAGAGCCCUCAACCAAGAUCCAUGAAGAUCCACUGGUCUCCAGUUCAAAAAUUUCAAAUUGUGCUUGCUGCAAGUUUGGACCAUAUUUGUCAAAUUUGAUGAAAUUCAUUUGUUUUCUCCUCCUAAAAAUCUGAGUAAAUUCAGGCAGCCUCUGGAUGCAUCGAGAGGUCACCUCACCAAGUCCCAGCUCCAAAAAAAAAUUUCUUCAUGCCAAAUCAUUUCGUCAAACACCUGAAGGACACUGUUACUGUCAAGUUCAGAAAGUUCAGAGAUACAGUUUCAGUGAGCCCCUGUCGUUUUCUUCAGAAACCUAUCUCGAUCUCGCCAGUAGCCGUGGUGGCGCCUUGCGCCCUGUGUUUCCUUCUUAUCCCUGCGCCGCACGAUCGCCUGGAAGCUUGCGGGCGUCGGCGACGAGCUGGUGGAGGUGCGCCUCCCCGUGAGCGACGGCAGCAGCGCCCUUUGCGGCUGCCAGAGAGGCGCAGCGUUGGACGGCGCCGUCCAGCGCCGCCCAAGCCACCAGAGGCCACCGCGUGGCCGUCCACUCACCCGUGCACGCUGCAGGUCCGUCGUCGUGAACUGUUAGGCGCGGAGCGCGCUCCCUGCCGCCGCCGUGCCCGUACGGCCGUUCCGUCGAGGGCCAGUGCAUUACGCAAGCCCGACCGAGGUUUGAGCAGAGAAACGGCGCCAGUGAUCCUCCACGAUGAUGCCUAGCCACCUAAACCCCCUGCCCAACCUCUGCCUCACCGUAAUUUCUCGCCGGCGUUAUCCCGUUCAUGGCUACCCCCUCGGAUCGCCUAUAAAAGGAGGUCCCGAGCUCGAACUCGAACCCGCACCACCUCUACACACCACCAGUACCACGCCAAGCCACUGGAAGAGCCCCGAGGGAGUCUUCUUCCCCAACUCCGGCCGCCUCGACCCGCUUCGGGAUCCAGCGCGAUUCACUCCCGUGCGUGCACCCCUACCCCUCAGCUCUUGCCAGUAGUCUCCUAGUGCAUCCACCCUUCUGACCCGCGCAUCAAUUUGAAGCUUGCAGCACCCACCGGAGAGCUCCACCAUCGCCCGAACCACCGUCCGCCGGAGAUAGUGUCGCCGUCGACGUGGUGCUCUCCGACGGUCAAGUCCACCACCCACCGACGCGGAAGAACACCCUGAACCCGUAGGUACCAUCCGAUCACUCUGCCUCGCCGUGGUUCAACGCCGGCGACCACCGCAGCCUUCGGGCGCCGGCGAGCUCCGUUGGAAGUUUUGAACCUGACGGGUGGGACCCCCCCGUCAGCCUCUCUUCUUUUCCCCUUCAAACCGUUUUCUGAAAGCGCCUUCGGGCAAAACGUGUUUUCUCUCUGGGCUGGCGUAUUUCAUACCGAACCGUUUUCUGUUUUCUCAAACAAGUCCCUGGAUCUUUUCUGUUUCGUCACAGAUCAGUCCUUGGACUAAAACCCUUAUAUCUUUUAAAUAAAAGAUGCUUUUGGAUUGAUUCUUUUUCUGUCAGUCUUAUAUUUUUGUCUAGUUUUUUAUAGUAUUUAUUUGAAAAAAAAAUUGGAACAAUUUUUAUGCACGCAACGGUUUUCACGUUAGUAUACGGUUUCGUUAUACCGUAGGUUCCGGAGGAGGUGACGGAGCCAGGAACUUCGCCGAGCUAGACUCCGACUUCUCUGAACCAGGCAAGCAUGUUUGAACCUUUGAUAUGAUGAGUGUUUUGCAUGUUUUCUUGAAUGGUUUGUGCAUGGCAUAUGAGCACCGGUGAGUAUUACGUUGCAGGCAAGGCAACUAACCGUGUGCUUCGAAGUCACUGUGAUCUUUGAUGAGAGAUGACCUGAUCAUGUGGUGACAUGAAAGGUAGUAAGAUGGUAUUGUUGUAUCAUGCCAGUCUUACGUCAUCCGAUAAACUCCGACGUUAACGUGGACUGAGCCACGUUACCGUUCUUCCCCUUUCGUGCUGCCACAUGUUUUCUGCAAGAAUACGGUUUAGUAAGUUGCUAACCUCUUUCCUUGUACACACCAAAUAGAGGGGCCGGGAUGAGGGUUACAUGGCCCUGGAUUAAAGCCAGUCAUCCGGUCAGGGGGCAUGGGUGUUUCCGGUUGGGACCGAGAGGGGGGCACCCCUUAGAGCGCGCGGUAUAAAUUUGAUCCCAUGCUACGCGAGGUUGUAGCCUCCCCGUCUCAAAGUUUUUCUUGAACGUUGCCUAGGGUGAUUCUUGGCAUCGGAAUGUUGAAUGGGUGUGUACUGGUGUUUCUCCUAAAACACCGUAAACGGAACUAGUCCCCUGUGACUACUGAAAUCCGUUGGCUGUGGUUAAAUAGUACAAGCUCUGCAGAGUCAAAUCCUUCCGAGUCAUCGUGUCCAUGGUCAAAGACCGUGGCCAACAUAUCUCUAUUCAUGUCAGUCCCCGUGUUAGUUUUCCGUGGGAAAUCCCCGGUGAACAAGCUUGAGUGGUAAACCCGGUUGAACGUUAUUCCUGUGGAUGGACUAAACUUUUAUUUAUCUCGUACCUGAAUAUUCCCUUGAAAUGAUUUAAAUUUCAUGAGCUACUGAAAUAUUGAGUUAUGAAAUAUAAGCCCUUUAUGUGAUGUCGCUCAGACGUCCGACUGUGGCACGUUUGUUAUUUACUUUUGAUAUAAGCCCUUUAUGUGAUGUCGCUCAGACGUCCGACUGUGGCACGUUCGUUAUUUACUUUUGAUAUAAGCCCUUUAUGUGAUGUCGCUCAGACGUCCGACUGUGGCACUCUUGUCAUUUACUUUUGAUAUAAGCCCUUUAUGUGAUGUCGCUCAGACGUCCGACUGUGGCACGCUCGUUAUUUACUUUUGAUAUAAGCCCUUUACGUGAUGUCGCUCAGACGUCCGACUGUGGCACGCACUGUCAUUUAUAUUCCAUUAUAAGCCCUUUAUGUGGUGUCGCCUUGACGCCCAACUGCGGCAUUGUUAUUUUAUUUGUAUCCUUUCGAGGAGUCAUUCAGACACUUGAUUGGCCUUCAGUAUUACAUUGGGAUUUCGGGAGGACUACCGCCCGACUUCCUUUUUAUUUCCCAUGCAUAGCUAUUUUGUUAUCUGAGUGCGCAUUAUUAAUCUGCUCAUAUGCAUCAUGUUUGCAUUUGUUAUAUCUUAUGUCCAAACUGUCUUGCGAGUACUUUCAUAGUGCUCACCUGGCUUGUUGAUUUGGCCAGAUGUUGACGAAGGCGAUCUCAUGGAUGAAGAGUUUGAUAGUGAGUCCGACGCCUAGAGGAGUCCCAGUCAGUCCCGUGCGAUCCUGGAUUUUGGUCACUUGUAUUAUAUACGCUUCCGCCACCCACAAUAAGAAUCCUCGAGCCUCACUCCGACGCUCGAUAAGCUGUAAGAUUUAGGAGUCAUGUCACCCACUUCUCUGUGACAUAUCCACCACCGCUUUUAUUGUGAGUCAGUAGUUAUGCCACCAUAUCCGCCUUUAUGUGUAAUAUCGGCGUGCUUGUAAUAAAUUGUUGAGCAGUCUCCGCUCAACCUUGUAUUAUGUUUAGUACUCCUGGGUUUCCUUCUGUGAUCAAGAAAUUGUCUACCAGUGAGAAGGAUUCUUCUCUACUGGUCCGUAAAAGGGAUCGGUUUCUCAAUAAAUAUUUUUAUUGGAAAACCGGUCAUGACAAUGAGAUACUCACCGGUAACAAGCCCAACCUCAAGUACUUUUGGGUGUUCGGAUGUAAGUGUUUCAUUCUCAAGAAAGGUGUUCGGUUGUCUAAAUUUGAGGCUAGAGCUUAUGAGGGCAUAUUUGUUGGUUAUGCUACAAACUCCCAUGCUUACCGUGUCCUCAAUAAAUCCACGGGACUUAUUGAGGAGACGUGUAACGUGGAGUUUGAUGAGAAUAACGGCUCCCAAGUGGAGCAAAUUGGCACUUGUGAUGUAGGUGAUGAAAUUCCUCCUCAAGCCAUAAGAAGAAUGGGUGUUGGUUUUAUCCUACCCAUUGAGGAACCCCUUGUGGCCGAAGGAGAAGGACAAUGCUCCACUCAAGUGGAGCCAUCACCAACCCAAGGCCCACACACGCUUCCGAAGAACAAAAUGAAGGCCCUCAACCUCAUGAACAAGACCAAGGGCAAGAUCAUGCUCAAGACGGUGGUGACACACCAAGUGAUGCCCAAGGUCAAGUUCUCUCCCCCGAGCAAGUUCAAGAUCAAGAACAAGCUCAAGACGACGCUCAAGAUGAUCAAGUGACCGCUCCUCAACUCACCGCCGAGGAGGAAUUGGAGCGUCGUGCCGCCAAGAUUGCUUCCAAGCUCUCCACCAAGGGUCAUCUCAUGAAUAAUGUGCUUGGAAGCAUUCAAAAGGGGGUAAGCACUCGUAGACAAUUGGCAAACUAUUGUGAACAUCACGCGUUUGUCUCUUGUGUGGAACCCCAAAAGGUAUAUGAAGCUCUGGAAGAUCCAGAUUGGCUUAAUGCCAUGCAUGAAGAACUCAACAACUUCGAGUACAACAAGGUGUGGAGAUUAGUGCCAAGGCCAACGAGGAACCACAAUGUCAUUGGAACCAAGUGGAUAUUCAAGAACAAGCAAGAUGCUCAUGGGACCAUCAUCCGCAACAAGGCACGAUUGGUGGCACAAGGCUACUCCCAAGUCGAGGGUAUCGACUAUGGUGAAACCUUUGCUCCCGUUGCUCGCCUUGAAUCUAUUCGUUUGUUGAUUGCUUAUGCUUCUCAUCACAACUUUAAGUUGCAACAAAUGGAUGUGAAGAGUGCUUUUCUUAAUGGUCCUAUUAAUGAGUUGGUUUAUGUCAAGCAACCCCCCGGGUUCGAGGAUCCCUACUUUCCCGAUCAUGUGUAUCAACUCGAUAAGGCACUCUAUGGCCUUAAACAAGCCCCACGUGCGUGGUAUGACCACCUUACCGAGUUGUUACAAGAUCGUGGGUUUGAAGUUGGGCUAAUCGACCCCACUCUUUUUACUAAGAAGGUCAAAGGGGAGUUGUUUGUGUGCCAACUAUAUGUUGAUGACAUUAUCUUUGGUUCCCCUAACAAAGCUUUCAAUGAGGAAUUUGCCACACUCAUGACCUCAAAGUUCAAGAUGUCUUCCAUGGGAGAGUUGAAGUUCUUUCUCGGUUUCGAAGUAAAGCAAAGAAGAGAAGGAACCUCCAUCAACCAAGCCAAAUACACUCAAGACAUGCUCAAGAGAUUCAAGCUAAGUGAUGUCAAGCCGGCGUCCACUCCAAUGCCCACCAGGUGCCAACUUGACAUCGAUCCCAAUGGUAAAGCGGUGGAUCAAAAGGUAUAUCGCUCCAUGAAUUGUUCCUUACUUUACCUUUGUGCAUCUAGACCGGAUAUCAUGUUGAGUGUGGGAAUUUGUGCACGUUUUCAAGCCGCACCUAAGGAAAGCCACUUUGUGGCGGUCAAGCGAAUCUUUCGAUAUUUGGCUCAUACCCCAAACUUUGGCUUAUGGUACCCAAGAGGAGCAAACUUCAAGCUUGUAGGGUAUUCGUACUUCGAUUGGGCGGGAGACAAAGUGGAUAGGAAGUCCACUUACGGAGGGUGCCAAUUCCUUGGUUGCUCUUUGGUAAGUUGGUCUUCUAAAAAGCAAAGUUGUGUGUCUCUCUUGUCCGCCGAAGCGGAGUAUGUGGCGGCCGGCAGUUGUUGUGCACAACUCUUAUGGAUGAGGCAAACUUUAAAGGAUUACGGUGUCAUUUGUGACAAAGUGCCUCUUUGGUGUGACAAUGAAAGUGCCAUCAAGAUUUCUCUCAACCCGGUGCAACACUUCAAGACGAAGCAUAUUGAGAUUCGGUAUCACUUCAUCCGGGAUCAUAUUAGGCGAGGGGAGAUCGAGCUCAACUAUGUCAACACUCAUGAUAACCUUGCAGAUAUUUUCACGAAGCCGUUGGAUGAAGCAAGAUUUCGCGAGUUAAGGCAUGAGCUAAAUAUCAUUGGUUCGAGCAAUGUUGCUUGAACACUUGCACUCCCCACCACACUCAACUUGUUAUCUUGUUUAGGUGUAGGCAUGGACAUAGGGGGAGUGUUAUUCUCUUAAUGAACUCUCCCUCCCUUAUUAUGCAUAAAUUGAUCAGCUCUUUCACAUUGGCCAUUUUUUAUGGUACUUGUGCUUCAAAGACGAGUUUUGGUCAUGGGCCCAAGGAUAAUUCUUCGCGGUGCCAUACCAAUUGACUCAAACAUAGGUGGCUCCUUGGAGAGGCUGUGUCUUAUGGUUGGUCCUCGUUGUCUCUUGCCUUUCUUUCUCUCUGCCUUGUCUUAGUCUCCUCUUCUUGCCUUUUGUUUUUCCCUUCUUUUGAGCUAGCCGUUUGGUGUCUAGUCUUUGGGUCUUGCUGGGCGGUACUACCGCUGGUGGUGCGCGGUACUACCGCUUAUGUUGACAAGCGGUACUACCGCCCACCCGAGCGAUACUACCGUUGGGGGGCGGGACCAGGGGGUUAUGUCGGGGCAGGGGGAGGUUUCUCCUCCCCCAUACCCAUUUGCACCGCCCCUCGUCCCUCUUCCUCUCUCCAGCGUCGCCUCGCCGCGGGAGGGCUCCGGCGGGCCGCCGUCUCCGGGCCAUCCCUCUCCAUUCCCUUUGGUGGAGUCGAUCCCCACCUCGUCCUCUUGCCAUGGAUGCCGGUAUUGCCCUCGUUCCUUCUCUCUUUUUGUCUAGUUCUCAGAUCUAGCGUUUUUGGGGCAAUAGUGGUUGCAUCUCUCGAUUUUUGCUAAAUCCCGGCUUGAGUAGUUUGGAGAAGGCGUCUAGACUGUGUGGAUUAAGUUUUGGUAGGAGUAUUUUUGAAUUUGGCAGUCCGGUAGUGCCGGAUCUGACCACGGCAAUAGGAAUCGCCGCUUCCCAGCCUUGAGCGGUACUACCGCUCCCACUGGAGCGGUACUACCGCUCGUGAGGUACUGCCGCCUAUGGCCAGCGGUACUACCGCUGCUUGCCCGAUUCCAUCAUUUUCCUACCACUGUUUGAUCCAUGUUGUUUUGUUUGGAGGCUUAUACUCUUUCUUUCGUGUUGUCUCUUCUGUCAUGUGUUUGGUUCUAGGUGAUGAACGCCCUAAGCAGCAAGUCCGCCGUGUAAACCCCGGUCGUGCAACAUCAAAGCGCUACCGCACCUCUGAGUCAGCAGGUGCUUCCUCUAGUGCGGCACCUCCGCCUCAACUCCAGAAGAAACCUGCCAAACAGACCUCUGCCAAGGAGUUCUGGGAAAGGCGUCGCCGCAACCCCUAUGCGGAAGACCAAGAACCCAAUUUGGUCAACCGCCCGUUCUGGAACCGCUUUCAGUUUGCCAUCUACUUUGAUGUGAUCAAGGCCAAGAAGAAUCUUUAUGUUGAUGUUCGCUCCAUCGACACAGAUGCCAUGGAAAAGGAUCCUGAGUACUUUGGUGAAGCUCUUCAGAUGUGUGCUCAGCUCAACAUUCUCAGAAUCAUGCAGUUCAAUAAGGACUUUGAUGCAGAUUUGGUGGCUCAAUUCUAUGCUACUGUCCAUCUUGGCACUGAUGAAGAAAGGACUCUGACCUGGAUGACAAAUGACAAGUUACUGUCUGUCAAGUGGAAGGCCUUCAUGGAGUUACUUGAGGUGGAAGAUCAUGGGCUUGAGACUCCUGUUGGCUUUCGCCCUCACUGCAAUGUCAACUCCACUCACAAGCAAGCCCUCUGGCCCUACUGCACUGUGAAGGUUCACCCUGUGACUAAGAAGGAAACCUAUGAGCUGUCUACCUACCUGGACAUCCUUCAUCGUGUCUUUCGAGAGACCCUCUUUCCUCGCAUCGGGAAUCUGGAUAUGGUCCACUCUUAUCUCGUGGAUAUGCUUCUCUUCUGCCAGCAUGAGAAGGAAGCAAACACUGGCGAGUCCCUGGACAUUUCUCAUGUUAUGUGGUCUGAACUUCUCACUGCCAUUUCUGAGCGCAAGUGCCCGAUCUAUGGUCCGUUCAUCAUGCUGCUCAUUGAGAAGGCCUGGGCACGUGUCUAUCCCCAGGUGAUGCUGGAAACUAGAGAAUUGGUUUCUCAUGAGAUCAAGCGUCUGAGGAAGAAGGACAGUUGGGGCACCCCAGCCCCUAAAUCCGGGGGUCCAUCUUCUGCUGCUGACAUGGAGACCGAGGACGGGGCUGAGGCCGAUGAUGACGAUGAGGAUUAUGAGCCUUCUGGGACAGAGCCCUCUUGGGCAAAGAAGAUCAAGCGCAAGAUGAAGAAGCUCUUCUGCAUGGAGUCUCGUGGUUAGUACAUGACUCAUGUGGCUGAGAAGAAGGCUAGGGGGCGUCACAAGGAGCUCAUGCGUCAGCUGGGUGCGACCGUUGUCAGUGGGUCUGAGGGCCAGGUCACUGAGGAAGAGGAGUGGAUUCAGCAGCACUGUCCGUGGACCGAUUCCUACACCGAGCAGUUUCCAACUGAGGAUGGCAGUGCAGAUGACCCUGCCAGGAUGUGAUGAGAGAGCUCCUCAGUUUGCCUUCACCUGGAGCCGUAGCGUCGCUCUUUGCCCUUUUGGUGUCUCGAUGCCAAAGGGGGAGAGAGCUUAGGGAUUUGUGCUUUAUGGUGUGCUUUAUGGUGUCGUCGUUUCGUCGUUCUUUGUAGUGUCGUUGUGUUUUCUCGCCAUUUGCUUUGUUUGGUUGUGUGCCAGUGAGACGUAAGUUCCAGACAUAUGGUGUAAGACAUAUGCUACCUUAUCUUUAUCUAUGUCUUUCUAGUACUUUGGUAUCUUAUGAGUUGCUUGUCUAUCCUGUUAUAUUACCUGCUCUCAUGUAUCAUAUGCUUAGGUUGUUGGACUAUAAAAUAUAGGGGGAGUGUUGAUCCUAAUGUGUGUGUGUCCUACAUUCCAAAGUCACUACUAACUAGGUGCACACAUUCAGGGGGAGCCCAUCUAUAUUUUGUAGUUCUAAGCAUCUUUACUUUCAUGAUAUAUCCUUGUGCAAAUCCCUGGUUGUCAUCAAUCCACCAAAAAGGGGGAGAUUGUUAAGGCAUAUCUCUCUAGAUGUAGUUUUGGUGAUUGAUGACAACAUGUUUGCGGACUAAUCGUGUGCUUUGAGCAUUUCAGAGAUUCAUCCUUUGGCACGAGACGAUUUCUUUCCCCUCGGAGUGUCAUUCAAGACGGUGUAGCUCUUUCGCUUCUUUUUGGUGGACUAGUUUCGUAAGAGUCACCGUACUAUCAAGAGGGGGUCCGUUUUGGUAAGGCUAGGGUGGAAUCAACACGUACACAUCCUCUUUACACCCUUCGAGCCUUUCCACUUCAUUGGAGAUCUCUUUCCCUUUCUUUGGGCUGUGUCUGGUCCCAGCGGUAGUACUGCGGUACCCAGCAGUAGUACCGCUUAGGGGUCACAGGCGGCAGUACCGCUCUGCAGCGGUAGUACCGCCUGUGGGUCCUCAGCAGUAGUAUCGCUGCGGUACCAGGCCCCUACCGCGUUGACUCGAGGGGUCUUUUCUCGUGUCGGAUUGUGCGGUACUUUGCAGUGGCAGUGCCGCUCAUGAGCGGUAGUACUGCCUACCACCGCGGCAGUACCGCUCGGGUCCGUCUCUCUCCUGCCCUCCCUUCUUCACAGUAGUACCGCCCGGGGGAGCGGGAGUACCGCUGUUCUCAGAGGUAGUACCGCUGCCUCCUGCGGUAGUACCGCCCUCCGCGGGGCUGUUUUGGGGGGUAACGGUUGGAUUGAUUCCCCCACUAUAUAAGGAGGUCUUCUUCCCCAAAGUUGACUUACCUCUUCCCCCAUGAGCUCCAUUGUUGCUCCAAGCUCCAUUUCCGCCCGAUCUCUCUCCCUAUCCAAUCAAACUUGUUGAUUUGCUCGGGAUUGGUUGAGAAGGCCCCGAUCUACACUUCCACCAAGAGAAAUUUGAUUCCCCCCACUUAUCCCUAGCGGAUCUUGUUACUCUUGGGUGUUUGAGCACCCUAGACGGUUGAGGUCACCGCGGAGCCAUAGUCCAUUGUGGUGAAGCUUUGUGGUGUCGUUGGGAGCCUCCAAUUAAGUUGUGGAGAUUGCCCCAACCUUGUUUGUAAAGGUCCGGUCGCCGCCUUCAAGGGCACCAAUAGUGGAAUCACGGCAUCUCGCAUUGUGUGAGGGCGUGAGGAGAAUACGGUGGCCCUAGUGGCUUCUUGGGGAGCAUUGUGCCUCCACAUUGCUCCAACGGAGACGUACUUCCCCCCAAAAGGAAGGAACUUCGGUAACACAUCCUCGUCUUCACCGGCUCCACUCUUGGUUAUCUCGUCCCUUUACUUUCGCAAGCUUACUUGUGUUAAAUCCCUUGCUUGCUUGUGUGCUUGUUGUCAUUGCAUCAUAUAGGUUGCUCACUUAGUUGCAUAUCUAGACAACCUACUUUGAUGCAAAGUUUAAAUUGGUAAAGAAAAAAUAAAAAUUGUUAGUUGCCUAUUCACCCCCCCUCUAGUCAACUAUAUCGAUCCUUUCAACUUUUCUCGUAGUUGCGGAUGCUUGCGGGAGCGUUAAUCAUAAGUAGGAGGCUUGUUCAAGUAAGAACAACACCUAAGCACCGGUCCACCCACAUAUAUCAAAUUAUCAAAGUACAGAACACGAAUCAAACCAUCAUGGUGAAAGUGACUAGAUGAAAAUCCCGUGUACCCUCAAGAACGCUUUGCUUAUCAUAAGAGACCGUUUUGGCUUGUCCUUUUCCUCAAAAGGAUUAGGCUACCUUGCUGCACUUUUGCCCCUAUUAUCGUUACUUGCUCGUUACAAAUUAUCUUGCUAUCAAACUACUAUGUUACUUACAAUUUCAGCACUUGCAGUCAUUAACUUGCUGAAAACCACUUGUCAUUUCCUUCUGCUCCUUGUUGGGUUCAACACUCUUACUUAUCGAAAAGAGCUAGAAUUGAUCCCUUAUACUUGUGGGUCAUCAAUGAUCUCAAACCCAACAAGGGAGCGCCAUUUCAGCCAAAAAACAAGCACAAACGACCAAUAGAAGGUCUAAUCAAUUUGAGAGAUACCUCUUGGCGAAUCGCUCCUGCUGCUGCGUCAACCGGCUCAAGAGGUCGACAGAAUUGGAUAUGUGCGCCAUGUACUUCUCAAUCUGCAUACAGUAGCACGAUGAGGUCAAGCAAUUGCCUAAUGCAACAUUUUGGUUGGUAACUGAACCACUGUGCGGUACAGACUACAGAGACUGAAUUCAGUCUGACCUUUUGCAGGUGGAGGAAUAGGUAGGAGCACAACAUGAAGAGCGUGCGGUCGAGCUCCAUCCGGUACAACGAGACCAUCAGGUCGUCGAUGCCGUUAUCCAUGAAGUAAUCGAACGUCUCCUCCUGGUUUCAGCGUAGGUCAUGAAGAAUCAGAAACAUUCAGUAUUGUGAAGAACGACGACACAACCAAUGGCCAUAGGGCACGGGAGACGUGUGCGGAGUCGAAGUGGAGGAUCUCCAGCGCGACCUUCUUGUUGCGCCAAAAUCGCUUUAGCAGCUCCACGUCCGUCUUCGCCGCGGCCCGCGUGGCAGCAGAGUCCUUGUCCUCGCACGAAGACAUCGUCGUCACUUCCUUCCUCUCUCGCUAACUGGCGACGCAAGCGCCGACGCCGCUCCUUGCUACCCGCGAUGCGACCGCGCCCUGCCCUGCCCUGGGUUCCGCGAGGCGGCGGCGUCCCACGAGUAGGGCGCCUCAGAGGUCGGCGGAGGAGGAAGACGGUGCGGCGGCAGCUCCUCUCGGACCUCGACAUCGGCGAUUGCGCACCUCGGUAGUUAUCUAGAGGUGGCGGUGGAAAGUUAUGAAUGAAAGGAAGAAAAAUGUUAUCGAUAUAGAUUGAUUAGAUUAGAUAGAUAUAUUAGGAAAGCGUGUUGAGAGAUAGGAAAGCGUGGUCAGCGAUUGAUGGGUUUUUUGUGGUGUUUUUCUCCUUGAUUAUUUGCCCAUCGUUUUUGUAGCGGAGAUGAAAAAAUCAGUGGGAGCAUCGAAACUCGGGCUGGUGGGUUGAUUCAGGAUAUCGUUCGGUGGGGAAGGCUUCGUUCGAUGGGAGGCUACCAAGAUGAAAGGACAACUGACUUUUCAUUAGGAGUAGAGAUUAGGGAAGGUAACAAUCGAUGUGUUAGAAAAGUUAGGAUUUUGAAUUGAUUUUCAUGAAAAUAAGGUAUUAUUGUUUGGUAACAUGAUAUCAGUACCUGCUUGUUUGUGACGUGCCUGGCUAGGAAAGUUUGCAAAUGUUAAGAAAAUUUUUAUUGGGAGGGUGAAAAAUCAACGUGAGGAUAUGACGAAACUAAACCAGAUGAAAAUAAACCAGACGAAAAAAACCAUGGACGCAAUCCUACCAACUGCUCCAUUAGGAGUAGAGAUACAACAACACGAUGAGGUCAAGUAAUUGCCUAAUGCAACAUUUUGGUCGGUAACUGAACCACUGUGCGGUAUAGACUAUAGAGACUGAAUUCAGUCUGACCUUUUGCAGGCGGAGGCAUAGGUAGGAGCACAACAGGAAGAGCGUGCGGUCGAGCUCCAUCUGGUACAGCGAGACCACCCGGUCGUCGAUGCCUUUAUCCGUGAAGUAAUCGAAUGUCUCCUCCUGUGAAGAAUCAGAAACAUUCAGUAUUGUGAAGAACGACGACACAACCAAUGGCCAUAGGGUACGGGAGACGACGGCGGAGUCGAAGUGGAGGAUCUCCAGCGCGGCCUUCUCGUUGCGCCAAAACCGCUUUAGCAGCUCCGUCCGUCUUCGCCGCGGCCCGCGUGGCAGCAGAGUCCUUGUCCUCACACAAAGAUAUCGUCGUCACUCCCUUCCUCUCUUGCUAACUGGUGACGCAAGCGCCGGCGCCGCUCCUCGCUGCCCGCAACGCGACCAUGCCCUGCCCUGCCCUGGGUUCCGCGAGGCGGCGACGGCGUCCCACGAGUAGGGCGCCUCGGAGGUUGGCGGAGGAGGAAGACGAUGCGGCGGCAGCUCCUCUCGGACCUUGACGUCAGCGAUUGCGCACCUCGGUAGUGAUCUGGAGGUGGCGGCGGAAAGUUGUGAACGGAAGGAAGCAAAACGUUACGAAUAUAGAUUGAUUAGAUUAGAUAGAUAUUAGGAAAGCAUGGUGAGAGAUAGGAAAGCGUGGUCAGCGAUUGAUGGGUUUUUUUGUGGUGUUUUUCUCCCUGAUUAUUUGCCCACCGGUUUUGUAGCGGAAUGAAAAAAAAUCGGUGGCAGCAUCGAAACCCGGGCCAGGGGUUGAUUCAGGAUAUUGUUCGGUGGGGAAGGUAUCGUUCCAUGGGAAGCCAACAAGAUGAAAGGACAACUGACUUUUUCAUUAGGAGUAGAGAUUAGGAAAGGUAACAAUCGAUGCGUUAGAAAACUUAGGAUUUUGAAUUGAUUUUUAUAUAAAUAAGGUAUUAUUGUUUGGUAACGUGAUAUCAGUACUUGCCUGUUUGUGACGUACCUGGUUAGGAAAGUUUGUAAAUGUUAAGAAAGUUUUUAUUGGGAGGGUGAAAAAAACAACUUGAAGAUUUGACGAAAUUAAACCAGAUCGAAAAUAAACCUCUUAGACCAAGGAGACACUCAGACACAUAAACCUUCUCGGAGUACACAAACCCCCAAGAGCCCGCCGGAACACCAAACCCUUCUGUCCCCACUACAUUCCGAUGGCGACGGCGGUGUCGGCGCCCGUCUUCACGGCGACGGUGCGGGUCUCCAAUAUCCCGCCCUCCGCCGUCGCUAAAGAGCUCCUAGCAUUCUUCGAUUCCGCCGUCGCCGCUGCCGGCGAAGCCUACGCCUGCGAGAUCGCCGCCGCCCGACGCGGCUGGUUAAGUCGAUGCGAUGGGAGCGUUCAGUUCGAUUCCACCGCCACCGCAACCCUCGCCGCCGAACUCGCCUCCUCCGGUCGCCUACCGCGCUUCCUCGGCUCCCUCCUCUCCGUCUCCCCUGCCCCCGCGGACCUUCUCCCCCGCGCGCCCGACCUUUCUCUCCGCGUGGCCGACGCCCGCCUCCUUGUCGGCAACCGCGUCGCCGAGCGCGAAUUCGAGGCGGCUGACUCUUGGGACAGCGUCCGCGUGGAGGUCAUCCCGGGGAAGCGGCGGAUAGACCUGUACCUGAAUCACGAUUCCCAGAGGUACAAGCUUGAGGUCUUCUUCGAGGACAUCAGGAACUGCUACCAGUGCAGCUUCGAUGGGGCCGGUGCCAUCUUGCUUCAGGUGAGCUGCUCACGGUGUUUAUUUUUUGAACGUUGAAGACUGUAGGAGUGGCUCCUACAGUCAUAUAUUAAUCAAAAAGUAUUUACAUAGUGUGAAGGGUGUGGUCGGGCUUUUGCCCCAAUCACAGGGUACUAGGGUUCAGAGUAUAAGUAAUUACAGGGGAUUAAAGUAGUUUGGCUAGCCCUAGGCAAUCUCUCUAGCAAAUUCAGUAAUGAACCCUAGCAGCUCAGGUUUUGUCCUGUGUUGCAACAAGAAAUCUUCUCUGAAUCUUGACAACCAGGACCUGUGGGAAGGCGUCACUCCUCUGAAGAUCAGGUUAUUCCUCUCCUUCCAGAUCGACCAUGCUGCUGUGGUGAACACUUCCAUGAUCAUGGGUUUGGACCAAGUUUGUUUAGCCGCCGCCAUCCAGUCAAACCUAUCUCCUUCUGUUGCCCAGGUAAACCCAACUGAAGUCCAGCACGUGUAGGAGAAACUGCAGUUAUAGAACAAAUGUUCCAGAGUUUCUUCUUGUUGGGUUUCGCAGAGCACACAUUAGUCCAUCCUGUCCGUCGAUGAGCCCACUACAUAAUGCCUAUGUUUGAGCAUGUUCUUGGUGUUUAAUCUGGCGGACAAGAGCAGCCAAGCAAAAACCCUUCGUUUCCUUGUACACCUCGACUUCCAAAUCCACCGAAAAGCCUGAUCAGACGUGACAUUUUCAAAGCAGAACUUGUAAUAUCUGGACGAUGAAUAUUUGGGCCCCCAAGUGUAUGUCCAAACAUCUCUCUGCUCUAGGUCUAUCUGACACUCAGCGGUCGCCAGCUGCAAAUCCCGCGCUUCUUGUGUUGCCUGUUGAGACAGAGGCAGAAAGAAGACCGCUUCUGCACUUUGCGCGCUUAGGAUUUCAUGGACAGUCACAUCUUCUGAUAUAGCAUAGGAGUGCGCUCUUGGGAAUUCUUCUUGGAAGAUUACCUCGCACCAUUUAUCUUUCCAAAAUAGUGUGCCGGAGCUGUCCCCUACUUUAACCGUGGAGAUUCCUCUGAAGGUAGGAGACAGCGACAUUACUUCUCUCCACCAGAACGACCCGCAUGGUCCAGUGGCGUGCGGGAUUCUGUCCACAUAGUACGUGUCCCAGAUCAAGGUCACCCAUGGCAGAUCGUGUCUGUUAUAGAAUUUGUCUAGGAACUUGAGUAAAACGGCUGUGUUUAAUGUUUUUGGUAUCCAGCACACCGAGGCCCCCCUUGUCUUUCGGCUUACACACCAUCGUCCAUGAGGCCAGUGAGUUUUCUGUCUCCCCAUUCUCAUUCUUCCUUCUCCAAAGGCACAGUCUUCUGAUCUUGUCCAAGUGAGCAAGAAUUUUAGGUGGCAGACCUUUUUCCAAAGGCAUCGAGCCUACUGUACAUCCAAAGAUCGCAGCAAAGCCGGCCGCCGACACCGCGUCUAGGUUGAUCGGCACCAGAGUAGUCUUCUCGAAGUUUAUCCGGAGUCCAACUGAGUCAGCGUAAUCAAGCAGAAUUUUCUUCAUGCCUCUUGCUUGUUCUUCACAUGCCUGCAUCACAAUCAUCGUGUCGUCUGCGUAUUGUAUCCCGGGGAAGUCUUUGUGUGUGCGUGGGGGGAUUGGGUGUUUGAGGACCCCUCGGCGAAGUGCGUCGUUGACCGCAGCUUGCAGCAGGUCGGCCGCGAGGACGAAGAUCAAGGGCGAUAGCGGGUUACCUUGUCGCACCCCCCGGCGACAUCGAAACUGACGGCCCGGGACCCCAUUGAGCAGUACCGAGGAUUUCCCCGAACCAAAGAUGCAUUUGAUCCAUCCUAACCAUUUCUCGUCAAAGCCCAUGUGUCUCAUGACCUCAAUCAUAGCCGGGUGUUCUAUAGUGUCGAAGGCCUUGGAAAAGUCCAGUUUCAGAAUAAACACUCGAGAUCCAGAGGCUUGACAUUGGUAAUAUAUACUUGAAUGCCCAAGCCAAGCAGGCCUGUAUCGUUCUCCCUUUCAAAAAUUUGUAUUGGUUCCUGUGAAUGAUUUUUAGAAUCCAUUUUGUAACCGAUCAGCAAGCAGUUUGCUUAUUAGCUUCAGUCUUCAGACAACAGUUUAGCAGUGUGAUGGGGCGAAAACCAUUUGCUGUCUGGGCCGAAUGAGAGUGAUGAACCCGGUGUUUAUGCUUUCAAGAUUGAGUUCUCCUGCGUGGAAAUCAUGACAAAGCUGAUAAAAGUCAUGUUUGAUUAUAUGCCAGCAUGAUUUGCUAAAGUGACCACUAAACCCAUCCGGCCCUGGAGCUCUGUUAGCCGGCAUGGUUCAAAUCACCUCAUCAUUUUCCGCCUCAGUGAAUCGGACAUAAAGUUCUUCCAGUCCAUCAAUCUUGGUAUUGAUAGAGCCUAGGUCGAAUUUCUGAUUUGGAGGUGAAGAUUCCCCCAAUCGUUCUUUAAACGCAUUGAGCAGUAUCCCUUCCUUGUCUGCGUGGUUCUCAACUUCAGUGCCAUCGGGUAAUUUCAGCAUGGCGAUGGAGUUAUUUCGGUAUCGCUCUGUGGCCAUCCGGUGGAAUUUUUUUGUAUUUUCCUCUCCAAAACGAAUAACCCUGACAGUGCAUCUUUUUCUCCAGUGUUGGUUCUGAAAGUUCAGAGGCUGCAGUAGGUGAGCUAUUAGAAUUCACCUGAAGUUCGAUUCUCGGGUUGUGAGUGUUCUCAGGUUUUCAAUUUCAUCCAGCUCGUUAACGGCCCAUUCAGUGUUUUGGAUCAGCACUUUGAGACGUGAGUCCAAUUGCUAGACGUGAAGAACCAGUCGAGUUGGUCACCGUGUUGCUGUGAUACUUCUGUUUUUCCUUUGUACAUUAUAUAUAUUAGUCAGAUAUUGCGGUUAUAGGGCGAGGUAGAAAUUUGAAGAAGGAAGCUCUAGAUGUACUUCCUCCCUCAAUACUUGCGCGAGCUGAAAAAUUGGCAAGUUCUCGAGUCAGUAAACUUGAGUGAACCAUCACAGUGGUCUGGUCUGCAAUUAUGCGUUAGAGCCCAUAAAGUAAGAUGGAUAGUGGUGCUACUUUUAUUUCCACUCCUAUAUACGGAGUAUAUCUCAGUUGGUGGUUACUAAUUGGAGUGAAAUGGAUAUGAAGCUUAUUGGAUAAAUACACAUCACCGUUACUUUUCUAAAUUUACUGAUUGUCAUACUUCUUAGACUAUAAGUUGGUGAGGCGCAACACUCUUUUAAUUCUUUCUAUAAUUCUGAAGUUGGUAAAAUAUAUAUUAUCUUGACUAAUGUUAAUUUACUAUUUGUUUCAGCUCAUGUAUUCACCAAGGAUAUGCACAACAAUUUCUGGGCCUGCAGUUUAUUCAAGGUUCUCGGAUGACCGCUUUCAUGCAUGCAAGGAGGAUGCGAAGUUUACCUGGGUCAGAGCACUGGAUUUUACACCCAACCACUCUUUUGGGAAGUGUUCAACUCUUGCCCUCAUACUUGAUGAAGGUGCAUCGGUGUCAUUUAUUCUCAACAGCUUGCCUUUGUCAGGAGAAUUAGGGGAAUUGGUCAUUUCUUCAACGGAAUUUUUUGGCCCGUUGUCCAAAGUCGUUCCCCUUGUUGAUUGCCCAAGUGGUUGUUCAGUGCCGUAUGAAGUUCUUUUUCGUCUCAAUUCUCUUGUUCACAUGGGGAAGAUAGUUGCCAAAGAUGUUAAUGCUGAUCUGUUUAAAGCUCUUGAAGAAAUACCAGUUCAUAUUUCAAGGAGGGUUUUUGAGAAAAUGAGCAAGCUAGAGUUUACAUGCUAUGAACCUUUGCGAUUCAUCCAGCAGGAGGCUCAUAGCAGGAAGAGGGGCCACGAUGCUUUGCUUUCCAGUAAGACUGAAGGUGAAGGAAAGUUAAUGAUGUGUUACAGAAUUCACAUUACUCCAGCCAAAAUAUACUGCGUGGGACCUGAGGAAGAAGUUUCAAAUUAUGUGGUUAAGCGUCACAAACAGUAUGCUUCUGACUUUGCUAGAGUUACUUUUGUCGACGAAGACUGGAGUAAGCUUUUUCCAGAUGCUAUCUCAGCUAGAACUGGACGAGGGUUCUUUUCUCAACCCUUGAAAACUGGCCUAUAUUAUCGUAUUUUAUCCAUCCUGAAAGAAGGAUUUUCCAUUGGUCCAAAGAAGUAUGAAUUCCUGGCCUUCUCAGCAAGUCAACUUCGUGGAAGUUCUGUUUGGAUGUUUGCUUCUAAUGAUUCCCUGAAGGCCGAGGAUAUAAGAAGGUGGAUGGGCAACUUUGAAGAUAUCCGUUCAGUAUCUAAAUGUGCGGCUAGAAUGGGCCAGCUGUUCAGCUCCUCCAGACAAACACUUGAAAUCCUACCAUGGGAUGUAGAAGAGAUUCCAGAUAUUGAAGUCACAACUGAUGGCAGUAAAUACAUAUUUUCUGAUGGUAUCGGGAAGAUCUCUGAUAGACUUGCUAAAGAAAUGGCUUGCCGAAUUGGAUUAGACUAUACUAACCCUCCUUCAGCUUUUCAAAUAAGGUAUGGUGGCUACAAAGGAGUUGUUGCUGUGGACCCUGAUUCCUUUCGUAAUCUUUCUCUGCGACCUAGUAUGAAGAAAUUCGAAUCAAAGAGCAGAAUGUUUAACAUUACAAGUACCAGCAAAUCCCAACCAUGCUAUAUGAAUCAUGAAGUUAUCUCUCUCCUUUCAACUUUGGGGAUAAGAGAUGAGAUAUUUGAGUCGAUGCAACAAAAUGAUAUGCGUGAAUUAGAUGAAAUGCUGACCAACAGAGAAGCUGCUCUCUCUGUUCUGGGGAAAAUUGGCAGUGCAGAAACGAAGACAGCAUCGAAAAUUUUACUGCAAGGUUAUGAACCAAGUUUAGAGCCUUACCUGUUGAUGAUUCUUAAGGCCCAUCAGGAUAAUAGGCUGACUGACAUAAGAACUAGAUGUAAGAUUCAUGUUCCGAAAGGCCGUGUUCUUCUUGGUUGUUUGGAUGAAACCGGUGAAUUAGAAUAUGGUCAAGUGUACAUCAGAAUUACAAAGAAUAGCAAAGAGCAGAAGGAUAAUUGUCAGCCGUAUUUUGCUUUAGAUAAUGGAAAAGAGAAAACAGCAGUUGUUGUUGGAAAAGUUGCAGUAUCGAAAAAUCCUUGUCUCCAUCCUGGUGACAUCAGAGUACUUGAAGCUGUCUAUGACCAUGGUUUGUACGCAAAGAACCUGGUUGAUUGUGUUGUCUUCCCCCAAAGAGGAGAAAGGUAAUGCCGUAUGUUAUACUGAAACUGAAAGACGAUCAUCUAGAGUUUAUAUUGCUCUGUCAAUGCCUUCAGAGGAGCUCAAAUCUCUACUGAAGUGUUUGUCAGUGUGUUCGUUUCCAUGUUAGAUUGAUAUCCAUUCAUGUUACGUACUUACAUCUCUACCUAUUGAUGUUGCCAAUGCUUGCUCUCUCCUUCAAUUAAUCUUUGAUGUUUAAUAGGCCUCGUCUAUAUAGACUUUAAUCUUUGAUGUUAAUCAGGCCUCAUCCAAAUGAAUGCUCCGGGGGCGAUUUGGACGGUGACCUCUAUUUUAUCACUUGGGAUGAGAAACUGAUUCCAGAGGAGGUUGAUUCACCUAUGGACUACACUGCAGCAAGGCCACGCAUAAUGGAUCAUGUUGUUACACUUGAGGUAUAUUCCUCACUGUUUAUUCAUUUUAAUUUCUCUUACUAGGUUGUUGCUGCUAAUUUACCGAAGAUUGUUUUAUUUGACUAAUACCAUUUUUAUACUUGCAAUUGCAAAUACAAUGAAAAUCUCAGUUUUUUACAAUCUGUAGCAUUUCAAUAAAUACUACUCCCUCCGUUCCUAAAUAUAAGUCUUUGUAGAGAUUUCACUAUGAACCACAUACAGAGCAAAAUGAGUAGUAGAAGAAAAUAGGAAUCUAUAUACAUACGUAUUGUAGUCCAUAUUGGAAUCUCUACAGACCUAUAUUUAGGAACGGAGGUAGUAGAAGAAAAUGUGUGCUUCGCCGCACCGUUUUCCAUUGUUAUGCGAUGUUUCCUGUUAUAAAUCAUCAAAGAAGUAAUUCUUUAAACAAAACUUCUGUGCAAACAAAUCACAGGCUAAAAUCAUUCAUUUUGAACAACUUCUUUUUAUUGCUUACCUAUUGGUUCAUGGGUUCCUAGAGAACCUGGAAAGACAUAUUAGCUUGGUUUUGAAGUUGACAAAAUGGGAAGGAAAAACUGCAGUGUAGGAUCUACUCCCUCCGUAAAGAAAUAUAAGAGCGUUUAGAUCACUAAAGUAGUGAUCUAAGCACUCUUAUAUUUCUUCACAUCUUUUAUUUUCUCUCUUUCUUUCCAUGUUUGUCUCUUUCUUGUCCCGGUGGUCUAGUUUUUGACUGCUCUAUAACUCUUUUAGGUCCGACGAAAAGUUAUUUUGUUAAACCACAACAUGACCACAUGACAAAUCCAGGACGUAAUCAAUAAGCAAUAAUGCCAGACUGAGCCGUGCACUUUCCAAAUUUGGUGAAAAGUGCAUUCUAUCUUCCAAUUCAUUGUAGCCUGACAAGCAUUCUAAGUGGUCACUGCUGAAAAUUUUGUGAUAAUAUUAGCCUAUUUUGGAAUUGCGUAACUGAACACAUCAAGAACCUGACGGUGUGAAUGAUACUCAAAAUGGAACACAAGCAUUCUAUACUGCACUCAUGUCAAGUUUAAUUCAGUUUACAGCCCAUUUAGUAAUUUAGUUAGAGUGGAGAAAUAAGGCAAGUGACCUGAAAAUUCCAACACAGUCUGGCUGACCACUCCUUUCCUGCCUUUCUGUUUUCUCUAUCCCUGCAUGCUAAGUGUCUCAGGCCGAUUUCGCCGCACCAUGUGAGCCCAAGCUAGUGUCCAUCUUCCACUGAUCAACCCCAAUAAAUCGAACGACCAAAGGCCCAUCGGCCACUACAUGAAGACGUGCCAACAACCCUCGAUGGAUUGUUUGGAACCUAUAUGUAACUCCAUUAAGAGCUAUAGCAAACCAUCAGAUAUAGGAUAGGAACUUCACCUUCAGGUAUGAACACCUGAUGUCAGUGUGAAUGAGGUAAUCACACUACCAAGUGGUUCCUGUGGUUGUCAAUGUGGUGGCCGGUUGGAGCGGCACCGCCCCUCAAAGCCCCCACACACGAUCAAUCCAGCGAAGCCACAAAGCUGCCCACUGCCUUUUCUCCUCCCCAUGCUGUCCAUGAAGAGGCAUUCCAGGGCACGUAGUCAAUGGCGGUUUAGAUUGUGUCAACACCAGCUGACCAGUGGGACCAUAUAUGAUAAAAAAAGCCAGAUCGCUGAGGGCGUUAUAUUUCCUGGGAGCUUAGUAACUUUAGAGUUUUGUUAUCUUGAGGCACCUCACAUCUUUCUAAAACAUUUUUUUGGCAAAACUGGUACAUGCCUACAUGGUAAGUGCACAACAGCCAGAGAGAACUGGCUACGAGCGUCGAACUCAGCCAGGAUGGAAUAACAGCCAACACAAAAUUUUGAAUGCUUUGAAUCAAAUAUAUGCUCGCCAUGCACAGUUUUUCUUUUUAAUUUUUCGCCAUGCACAACUAAUAACGUUCUUUAGAAAUGUGGGUACUUGUUUCAGAAAGAAAGACAUUUUUGCCAUCCUCUAAUGAAAACAGUUGUGCAUGAUUGAGUUUUAAAAUUGUCUUGCUUUAAAAUGCUCUUCAAUGUAUAUAUCUAACCUUGAUAGGUUCACAACUAUUUACCAAUUAGCUCCAAUAAGCAGUUCAAAGUUGUCUUUUCAACAAGCACAUGUAUUUUCCUUGCCUGACAUGUUUAUACCUGUAAUCUUACAAAAACACCUGAUGAACUGCAGGAAAUUCAGAAGUACUUUGUGGAUUACAUGAUAAAUGACUCGCUCGGUGCAAUCUCAACUGCUCACUUGGUCCAUGCGGAUCGUCAUCCAAUGAAAGCCCGGAGCCCUGAGUGCCUCCAGCUAGCUGCUUUGCAUUCGAUGGCGGUCGACUUCGCCAAGUCAGGAGCUCCAGCUGAAAUGCCCCGGUCACUGAGACCAAAGGAGUACCCCGACUUCAUGGAACGGUGGGAUAAACCAACGUACAUCUCCAACGGAGCUCUCGGCAAGCUCUACCGAGCGGCUGCGAGCCGUAUGCAGAGCGCUCCUGCCCCCUCGUCUUCGGCUCAAUCGAGCCCCGCGUUUGAUCCUGACCUAGAGGUCCCUGGCUUCGAGGAAUUCCUGGCAUUUGCGGAGGAGUGCUACGACCUGUACGCGGAGAAGCUGAGCACCCUGAUGAGCUACUAUGGCGCGGAGCAUGAGGACGAGAUCCUGACCGGCAACAUCCGAAACAGGCUCCUGUACCUGAAGAAAGACAACAAGAGGUACUUUGAGAUGAAGGACCGCAUCAUCUACUCGGUGGAUGGCCUGCACAAGGAGGUGCAGGGUUGGUUCAGGAGCCGCCCGAAGGCGGAGGCGUCAAGGAGGGCGUCGGCGUGGUACCGUGUGACUUAUCACCCGGACCACCGCCGGCCGGGAAAGAAGCAGUUCUGGAGCUUCCCGUGGAUCGUCUGCGACGAGCUGCUGAAGAUCAAGGAGUCCAGUAAGCGGCGCAGGCAGCAGGUGGACGGCGCAGCGGCCUGAGUCGUCCGGCCAAGUAAUUAAGUGGUAGUCACAGGCAAGCUUGUCUGAUGAUUGGGCGGCUGCUAUAUGUUUGUAUGUAUGUAGUGUAAAACUUUGGGGCAUGACUGCAGUGCAGAUCAUUCUGAGCUGAUCGGCAGAGCUGUGCCUUGCAUCGCUCGUAUGGACGGGGAGAUUUGUUGGAUGUAUGUGACUGGAAAUGAACCGUGCUUGCUCGGGCUUUGCGGGAGGUUAAUCAUGCUCCACCACUAUCUCAACAUAGCCUCAGCUUUGUGUGCAAUUCUGUUCUGGGCUGGCGGGUGUAUUUUCUCAGGGUGAAAACCCAUGAUCUAACUUUCCGGCUUAAUCAGAGGCGUCGUCGUCGUCGCCCGCGCGUCGUUACUUAUUGAAGAUGCUGGUUCAGAUCUGUUUCAGUGUGAUACCUUUGGUCUGACAUCUGACUGGACUAGCCAACAUCGACACGCAAGCGACGAAAUCUCGAAGACGUUGUCUUGAAGUGUUUGUACCCUUUAUCUGCUUGGGGAUGAUGUGGUGAUACAUCCCUAGGUGGUGGAUGGCCUCGAGUUUUCCCCCCCUCUUUGCAAGCUGAUUUGUUCGGUAUUAUCAACAAUUGAUAAUAUAUGGUUGUGGUGUUUAAAAUAAGGACGUGCCUAGUGGGCACCCGAGCGCCCGUUGGUAGGACGAGCGCUCCUUCAAAUAAAAAAAGAGCAGCUGACGCAUACGACGCAGUUCACUAAAUAGGAAUCUUAUCCCUACGUGCAUUUAUUUGGGGACCAAAAAGAUUAAAAAACUGUAACUUUUGUUUUAAGAGUCGAAAUUCAAUUUCGUUUUCACAGCUGGGUUUCUCGCAAUGAGUUCUUCAAAACUAGAUUUCAUAUAGAUAGGUUUCGUCAAACUUUUUUUAAGGCAACUUUGAGUACGGUGAAGGCAACUUUAGUGCUAUAGGAAAGCAAUUUCAUUUUUUUUUGCCUAGUAAGACCGCCUAUUAGGUUGGUUUGUGUAAAAAUGAGAAAAUCACACAAAACAUGAUGCGCCUUCGUUGCACCAUGUGUAACAAUGGAUUUGGUUAACAUUAUCACAACUUCCUACCAUGAUUGCUCAGUUGCCUACCAUGGAUAUUCAGUUGCCUAUUGAUGCCCAGUUGCCCGCGAUACUUUGAAAUUGGUCUAAUAUUGAUGUCGAGUUACCUGUUAUUGAUAAUUUGUUACCUAUCAUUGCUUCUUAGUUGUCUAACUUUGCAAAUUAAUUGCCUGCAAUAUUAUGAAGUUUCUUAUCCCCUAAAAAUACUUUGUGAUUUUAGUUAUGUCCCAAUGACCAGCUCACACCGCUCCCCCUCUAUGAUCAUUUCGCCAAGUAUUUACGAUCAUACCAGGGGAUCCCACCCCGAGGAGAUGAAAUUCUUGAUGCAUCUCUAUGACACAAUCUUAAUUGAAAGAUAUCUAAAACUUUUACAUAUUAGCCAAAUUAUAGACUUGUUAAUGUUUCUAUUCUUGAGGAUUGGGCAACUGGAUACAUGGUUCUAGGCCAUUGUAUAAUUGAUUAUGGGCAACUAUGACACCUGAAAAAGUGAUAAUGAACAUACACAUGUUAGUUUUUUAGGGGUUCACAGAUAAAUUUAAUCCCAUAAAAAAACUUCAUGGUUUUAGUUAUGUCCCCAUGACCAGCUCCACCCCGCCACCCUUUAUAAUCAUUCGCCAAGUGUUUACGAUCAUACCAUUGGACCCCACCAGCCCCGAAGAGAAGAAAUUCUUGACACACCGCUGUGACACAAACUUAAUUGAAAGGUAUCUAAAACCUUUAGAUACCUGUUAUUGAUAUUGGUCUUGGUAAUGUUUCUGUUCAUGAGGAUUGGGCAAUGGGAUACAUGAUUUUAGGCAACUGUAUGGUUAAUUGUGGCAACUAUGUUAUUUUUCAUGUAUUGUGCAUAAAAAAGGGACCCAAGUAUCUUUUUCUGUGAGUUUUUGUUGCUUUUGUUGUGUGAUAGUUUUUUUGAAAUCCAACCGUGAUUUGUGUGGUCGCCUGCUGCCUCGCUCCGAUGAAGAAUCACGGUGGGGCAUGAGUGAAUCCCCUUCCAUUUCUCCCUUCGUCUCUUCGACGGUAACCAACAGAAAAAUGGGGUGGGGGUGGGGCCGGCUCUUCCACGAACUGCAGUGAUUAUCUCUUUUCUGUUAUUUUGGAAGGGGCCUCACCAUAACUUCGGUCGCCACACUAGACAGGAAAGCAUCUGCGCGCGACUUGUGACAAAAUCGAAUGGCUUGGGAGGGUGCGCUCGACGUCUCCAAAUAUUGCAGUAGCACUAAUAAGCAUUGGGGGACAACUUAUAUGUGAAUUUAGUGAACAAGAUAGUCAUGGGAGGCAACUUAUAAUGACUUCUCGUUGAUAGGCAAUCGUGGUAGGCAAACUAAGAAGAAGUUGCUUUCCUAUAGCACUAAAGUUGCCUUUUUAGCACCUAAAGUUGCUCAAAAUAAAAAGUUUGUCGAAACAUAUUCAUAUGGGAUCUAAUUUUGAAAAACUCAUCGCGAGAAACCCAAGAGUGAAAAUGAAUCUGAAUUACGAUACUUGAAUCAAAAGUUAUGACUUUUUACAAUUUUAUUAAGCCCAAAUAAAUGCACGUACAUGUUUCUUGACCGAUUUGUGUAAAGUAGGUAGCGUCGACGAGAUCAGAAACAUAUAUUUUCCUUUUUCAUAGUGUAAUGAUGACACAGAAUGCUAAUUACUAUUUUUAUAGUGUGAGCUUUUUGUCGUGUACUGCGUGCGCUCGCAAUGCCCAAUUAGUGCAGCUGCAUUAUUAAGCUUUUAGGUUAAAAUAAUACAUAUGGCUGUGGGCAUCACUUGAUUAAUUGCCUCCUGUUGUUUCCACAAAUUUAAGUGUCACUCUAUAACGUGUUCAGGGGGCUAACUAAUCACCUACUCUCGCCGCUGCUCCUAUCACCUUGAUGAUUUGAUUUGUGUCAAGAUCACUGACUUGAUUGAUCAGUCGAUCAAACAUUUCAGACUUUAUUUAUGGGGGCCCUGGUUCCAACCGCAAACCAGACCAGUGUUAUUGCCCACUUUUUCAGAUCAAGAAUUGCACCCCUGUACAGCCAGUCUCACAUGCAGACGGUUGCGCGUUUGCUCUGAAUUAUCACCCCCAUGAAUAUACAUUGAUCCUCAGCACCGACGCCAUAAAUUGGGGCCUGACAUGGGUAGAUGGAUCUUGCCGGAAAAUCUUCAAUGGGCAGCGCAAGUAGCACCCACAGGUACAAUCCCCUCUGGAGAACACUAGCAGCUCGAUCACCUAUAUAAGGUCGCAAGCUCUCGCCAUGGCCAAAACACAAGCACCACAGUCACUUCACUGAUCAAGUAGCUGGCAAGAGCUUUGAGCGCGUUGCAACUUUGCAUCCCGGUCGAUCGAUGGCGUCCAAGGUCGAGCUGGUGGUGGAGGUGAAGUCGCCGGCGGAGAAGCUGUGGACGGCGAUGCGCGAGUCGACGGAGCUGUUCCCCAAGAUCUUCCCCGAGCAGUACAAGAGCAUCGAGACCGUGGAGGGCGACGGCAAGUCCGCCGGCACCGUCCGCCUCAUCAAGUACACCGAGGGUACGUGCGCGCGUCGUGAAACGAUCCACAUGUCCAGACGAGUAUGUAUAAGCUUGUAAGUGCACGUGCAUUCAGGGGUUCCGAUGGUGACGUUCGCCAAGGAGAAGGUGGAGGUGGCGGACGACGAGAAGAAGGUGGUGUCGUACAGCGUGGUGGACGGCGAGCUGGUCAGCUUCUACAAGAACUUCAGGGUGACGGUGCAGGUGACCGACAAGGGCGCCGACGGCGGCGGCGCGGUGGUGAACUGGACCAUGGACUUCGACAAGGCCAGCGACGAGGUGCCCGAGCCGGACGUCAUCAAGGAGACCGCCGCCAAGACCCUCCACGACCUUGACGACUACCUUCUCAAGAACUAGAGUAGCUUUUACUAGCUGCCUCGUCGCUGGCCGCCGCGUCCGUCGUCCGUCCAUCCAUCCAUCCAUGUCUACUGUCAUCGUUACUUGCUGUCUGCCGUGUUCCCCCAUCUAGCUUACUCUCACGAAAACGACCGUGUGUACCAUGUACGUGUGCAUCUGCCUGCGCUGGGACGGACGCGUGAGUAGUAGUGGACUGAUAAUAAAGUCCCAACUUUAUGGUCACGUAUACGUACGAAUGGUGUUAGAUUUGUGUGACUUGGUUUGAUUCGAUCUGCAGGAAAAAUUUAGUAUGUUGUGGCGGAAUUUCUUUCUUCAAACCAGGCUACUCCCCUUCUCCUUAAUAAUUUUCAUAACGGAAGUACAAAACAUUGAGUUCAAGAGAGAGAUAACAUGGGCGGGGAAGAGAAAACAAGG